AAACUAUGAAACUGCAACAUAGAGACAUAAUGUUAGGCCAUCGUACAUCUGCUAUAUAUUUCAUGUUAGAGACAUGAUGACAUAAAGAUAGGCCAUUGGGACAAUCGAUACAUUCCAUGUUUUAGACAUGAGGACUUAGUACUUGUGACAGGACAUAUGACUACUUGCCAUUGUGCUCAUUCGCACAUACUUGUGAGGGUCGCUCCCUACAAGCCGGCACUCCGGAGAUAGCCAUCGCGAUUCGUAUUCGCCGUGCGGGAUUGGGCGCCGAAGUGGAUUGCCGUGGGCCAGGCUCAUUCCUAGGGUGGGGAUGAUGACUACCACGGGGCCAUUAGGCUCGGCAUCGGCCAGACAGCCUACGGGUGGGUCUCAGGGCCAUAGACAGCCUUCGGGUGGGUCUCUCCAGAAUUGACUUUGAGUAUUCACUACGACAUGUGGACAGAUGAUGACUUAGUAUAUUGACUAGAAUAGUAAACAAUGACAUCUUUACUAUUUGCUUGAGGACAUCGUAUUGGUUGCAUACUUAUGCUUAUUUAUGUCAUACACAUCCAUGUACAUUCAUGUUAUAGUCGCUUUAUUACUUAUGCAAAUCACGCUAAGAAGAGACAUUAUGCUAUAGUGAGUUACAUUUUACUUACCUUUUACUUUACUACAUUUUUGUCACUGACCUCCUCUUUGUAGCUUUUGGGCCUUGUGGCGCAGUUCACUGAAGUCAGUAAUUGCCCACUGGGAACUAUUUUUAAUAGUUCUCACGCCCUCUUUUUCGUGGUUUCUUUCAGAGCCUUCGGCACCGGCGAAGGCAUAGGAUCGUGGCAAGGGGAUCGCAUAGCUAGCUAGCGAGCAGCGGUUUUUUGCUUAGGUGAUUUACUCUUUCUUUUUGUAGUUUAGAGAGUGAGAGAUUUUGUACCCAUGUAUAGAGACCACCUAUGUAUUUACUUUCAACACUUGUUUUUGGGAUUCCUUUGUACUACUUUAUGUUUUUACUAGUGGAUUUCAGCUUUAUGUUCCUUUCUCUAUUGUAGGACUUAGUCUUAUAGCAUGCUCUGAUACUCCUAGAUAUCUUUUAUUAUUGCUUAUUUCAUUGUUGUUUUUAGACGCCUUAUAUGUUUUAGACGUAUGGCGGGUCUGGGCACGUGCCGAGCGGGCUUCCGCUGGGUCCCGGGGCGUGACAUUAAUAAAGUCACGAUUAAGAAUAAGUAUCCGUUGCCGAGGAUCGACGAUCUAUUUGAUCAGUUACAGGGAUCCAGUGUGUAUUCCAAAAUCGACUUGCAGUCGGGAUAUCACCAGCUAAAGAUCAAGCCUGAGGAUGUAUCAAAGACGGCUUUUAAAACACGGUAUGGACAUUAUGAGUUUACUGUGAUGCCGUUCGGGCUUACUAAUGCCCCGGUAGCUUUUAUGGAUCUAAUGAACCGUAUUUUCAAGCCUUAUCUAGACAGGUUUGUCGUGGUGUUCAUCGACGACAUCUUAGUUUAUUCCCGGAGUGAUGCGGAUCACGAGGAACACUUGAGACUUGUACUUCAAGUGCUUCGGAAAAGGAAGCUCUAUGGUAAGUUGAAGAAGUGUGAAUUUUGGCUUAGAGAGGUGGCGUUUUUAGGCCAUGUGAUUUCAGGAUUAGGCGUAGCCGUGGACCUGAGAAAAAUUGAAGCUAUUAAGGAUUGGCCAAGGCCGACGAGUGUCACGGAGAUUCGGAACUUUAUUGGUUUGGCCAGCUACUACCGACGGUUUGUUGAGGGAUUCGCGAGAUUAUCUACUCCCCUCACGAGGCUCACACAUAAGGGCACCAAGUUUAUUUGGAAUGAUGCGUGUGAAAGGAGCUUCCAAGAGUUGAAGCAGAGAUUGACUACCGCCCCGAUCCUAACCUUGCCAAUUACUGGAGCAGGGUACGUGAUUUAUAGCGAUGCUUCCUUUAAUAGAUUGGGAUGUGUUUUGAUGCAGGACGGGAAGGUGAUCGCGUAUGCUUCUCGCCAACUAAAGGAUUAUGAGAGGAACUAUCCUACUCACGACUUGGAAUUGGCGGCCGUAGUCUUUGCAUUGAAGCUAUGGCGCCACUACUUGUAUGGCGAGCGUUGUGAAGUGUAUACGGAUCACAAGAGCUUAAAGUAUUUAUUCACUCAGAAGGAGUUGAACAUGAGGCAGCGCAGAUGGUUGGAGCUGCUCAAGGAUUAUGACUUGACUAUUCUUUACCACCCAGGCAAGGCUAACGUGGUGGCAGAUGCGCUAAGUAGGAAAUCGACAGAAAACUUAGCGAUGCUUGUGGUUACUCAAUCGCCGUUGAUCGAACAGAUGAAGCGGUUGGAGUUGGAGGUGGUAGCUCCUAAUACACCUUUGAGAUUGAUGACUUUGGUGGUGCAACCUACACUUGUGGAAAGGAUUAAAGAAAAGCAAGUCUCCGACGUGGAGUUGCAAAGUAUUCAAACUAAGAUGAUUGAUGGUUGCAUCAGUGACUUCGCUAUGGACGGUGUGGGAGUGAUGCAUUUCCGCGGACGGAUCUGUGUACCGGCGGAUUUGGAGAUUAAAGAAGACAUUCUUCAAGAAGCACACCGAGCACCGUAUGCUAUACAUCCGGGAGGCACCAAGAUGUACAAGGACUUGAAGUUGAUUUAUUGGUGGCCCGGGAUGAAGAAAGACGUUGGUGAGUUUGUUGCUAGAUGUUUAACUUGCCAACAGGUUAAAGCUGAGCACCGGGUCCCCGCAGGGAAAUUAUAGAGCUUACCGAUUCCGGUGUGGAAAUGGGAGAAGAUCACCAUGGACUUUGUGAUGGGAUUGCCCCGCUCGCAGGCCGGGCAUGAUGCUAUUUGGGUGAUCGUGGAUAGAUUGACGAAAUCGGCACAUUUCAUACCUAUCCACACUACUUGGACUGGUGAGAGACUCGCACAGGUAUAUUUAGAUGAGAUUGUGCGAUUGCACGGGGUACCUACUUCUAUAGUAUCAGAUCGAGACCCCCGUUUGGUAUCUCACUUUUGGAGGAGUUUACAGGAUGCCUUGGGCACGCGCUUGGACUUCAGUAUAGCUUUCCACCCUCAGAGUGAUGGGCAGUCAGAGCGCACUAUACAGACACUUGAGGACAUGCUUCGAGCCUAUGUGAUCGACUUCCAGGGAGGAUGGUUGCAGCAUCUACCAAUGGCAGAGUUUGCUUAUAACAACAGUUAUCAAGCAAGCAUCAAGAUGGCGCCAUUCGAGGCACUUUAUGGACGGAAGUGUAGAUCGCCACUUCAUUGGAGUGAAGUUGGCAAGAGAUUGGCUUUAGGCCCCGAUGUGCUCCAGGAAGUAGAGGACAAGGUUCGCAUUGCUAGUGAGCGACUGUUGACAGCCCAGAGUAGGCAAAAGAGUUAUGCUGAUAGGCGUUGACGAGACUUGGAGUUUCUGAUAGGAGAUCAUGUCUUCUUGAAAGUCUCGCCGACCAGAGGGAUUAGGAGAUUUGAAAUUCGGGGCAAGUUGAGCCCCCGAUUCAUUGGACCGCAUAUGCUAUGCUUGUGGUUUAUUAUGUUUCAUUAUGCUUGUAAUAUACCGAAAAUUCGGAAAAUAAAUGUCGAACUUUAGUCAAAUUGACCAAAGUGCGUGGAUGGUACACUUCGGAAAGUCUGAAGGUGUUACAAUGAGUAAAAGUGCGUUGUGGAAGGUUUUCGAGAGCUAAGAAUAAAAAAUUCUGCAAACUGUAGAUUUUCAGCUCUCGGGGACCGGUCCCCGGUGGGAGAGACCGGUCUCCGAACGCGUGAGAAAUGAGACAGCCGAAAAAUCGGUUAAGUCCCUGAGAAACAGCUCUCGGGAACCGGUCCCUCCCCGAGAGACCGGUCCCCCAGAGAGACUAGUUCCCCCUGAGAGAGACCGGUCGCAUUCCGCGCAACAGCUCUGGCUGCACUGGGAGAGCUCUCUGGGACCGGUCCCUAGUCGGGGAGACCGGUCCCCGAGCCCGAAAUCUACCCAGUCUAGGCAGUGUAAUAAAGUGAAAGUUGAGGGGUUUAAUUGCAUUUUUGCAACCCAUUGAGCUAUUUAUGAGGGCAAAUGAAAUAUUUCUCUCAUUCCACUCCCUCUCACACUCUCAUCUCUCUUUCUCUCUCUAGAAGACAAGAAGGAGAAGAAGAAGAGAAGGAAAAUGAAGGAAAAGGAGAAGAAGAAAGUGGAGAAGAAGAAGGAGUGAAGAAGCUCCCUCUCCCUCAUCUCUAGCUUGAAAAAGGAAAGCUUACAAGGUAAGCUUUGAACCCUAAUCAUGGUAGAACCUAAUCUAGGGUUUAGACUAAGCUAAGAAUGGUUUUUAUAGAAGCUAUUGAGUGUUUGGAGCUCUCUUUUGCUCCCUUUUGAGAUCAACACCAUGAAAUGGUGUGGAGGGAGAAGCUUGAAGGAGAGCUUCAACCUCUCUCAUGGUAGAAUCCAAACUACGGUUUGGAUUGAGUUAAAGAUGGUUUUAAUGGACUUCCUAGAGUAGCAUGAAGCUACUUUUGCUUCCCAAUGAGAUCAAACCUUAGAUUUGAUGUAUGUUAUGGAGCUAGGGAACCCAAAUUGGGGCUUUUGCUCAUGAGGAUUUCUACGUAAAAUUGACCCUCUGGAAACCUAAUUGGGGGUGUUUCCGACGCGUUGGUGUGUUCGGAUUAGCAUUACGAAAGGCCAAUGUAAAGAUAUGAGCAAAGUGGCCUAAUAGGGCUUCGUUUUGCCGCAGGUAAAGAACGAAAGGUCUAGAAAUCCCAAGAAAAUCAUCGGAGCACCUUUGAAAGCCUACGAGGUGGGUAGUGCUUUUCAAACUCGUUGAACUUCCCUCUAUACCUAAUGUGUCAUUCAAUUGAGCAUAUGUUUAUACAUUGUUGCAUGCAUUUUAGGGUAAAGUAAUGAUAAUAAUGUGAUGUUGCAUGAUUAUGAGUACAACUUGCAUAAUGUGAUGGUUGAGAACCUUAAAAAUGUCAAAACCCUAUAUGUGUGCAUGAGGUGAAAUGUGAGAACCAAAGUGAGGUAAAAGAACAGAGUGACACAAUGACAUAGAUCGAGUGGCAUUCGAUAGUGCAAAGUAAAGUGACACUAGAGUUAGUGUGAGGCAAAGAAUCAAUGUGAUGUAAAGAAUAAAGCUAAUGACUAAAGUGAAAACAAAGUGGGGCGUAAAGAACAAAGAUUGCUAGAGUUAGCAAAAGUAAAGAAAUGUAAAGAAUAUGAUUGCUAGAGUUAGCAAGAGUAAUGAAUGGUAAAGAACAAUGAUUGCCAGAGUAGCAACAUAAAGUGAUGUAGAGAACACUAGAGUUAGUGUAAAGUCAAGAUUGAACAUACAAUCCUUUGAGUUAAGGAUUCGAUCAUACUUGCUAUGAGUUCCGUGCUCGAGGGCGGUCGCUCCCCCUCGGGCGAUGCGCUCCGGAGUUUUUGCAUCACGGGUUGGAGUAAACCCGAAGGACGGUCUUAGCGGGAGGAAGCUGAGGGCCCGCGAUGAUGGACUUAAUGUGAAGCAAGUUAAUGUGGCGAAACCCCCGGGUUAGCCUUGAGAUUAAAGAAUAAAGAACAAAGAGUAAAGCAUAAAGAACAAAGACAAAGUGUAAUGUGUAAAGAACCAAAGAACUUGCAUAAUCUGCAAACGGGGGCAUAUUUCCUGCUUUUGUUCAGGCAUAUUAGCAUCAUAAUAUAGAUUGGUUACUAUAUUCAGCUUAUCCGUUCUAUUAUGCCUGAGUUAGUCCUAGUGGGAAAGUCGGUGAUGUUGAGGCCGAACCCACUGGGAACUUUGUUGUAGUUCUCACCCCACUAUUUUUACAGAGCCGGGACCGAGCGAGCCGGCGAGCGACCGAGGUAAAGGUAUCGCGCCUUAGUAAGAGGCCACCAGAGUUGGGUUUACAUUUUGUUAGUAGCUACCCUUUUAUCAUCUUUUGUACUUGAUGACUAGUGAUGUAAAGAAAGAAUGUAAUGUGUAUUUUAAGGUAAAUGUGAUGUAAGAAAGACAUGAUAUAAUGAAUGUAAGAAAUCGAUAAUGUACAAGUUGGAUGCAAUGUAUAUGAUCAAAAAUGAAUCAUAGUACAAGUGAAUGUUUAGUUUCCUUUUUCUUUCACUCGUGGCUAUUGCUUACCCUCGUGUAAGCCGUAAUUGUAUGUUUCCGCUAGUGCACUUCAUUGUUUGAAAAUGUACAUAUGAUGAGCCUUGGACGGACAGGGAAACUCUGUCCGUUCGGCGUCUGUUUGACGUGCUCUGGCCGGCCCAAAUUGAUAUCGGUCUCGGGGCGUGACAAUGCUAUACUAUGUGAACCUCGUUUACAUUUUGAUUUUUGCCUACAUGGUUGCUUACUUUUUUAUUGUGAUAUAUGCUAUGCCUAUGAUUGUGUUAUAUGCUUGUUAAUUAUAUGCAUAUAUUUAGGGGGAGCAUUCUACUCUUUUGCUCUCUACUCAUUUGAUAUUAUAUCACAUUAUUUGUCAUCAUCAAAAAGGGGGAGAUUGUUGGCCUAGUGGCCCUAAUCUUCUAUUAGAUUUUGAUGAUAACAAAUAAUUACGAUUAUUGGACUAAUCUUUUAUCUUGAGUUUUGUGUUUUAGAUCUCUCUAUAUUCAAAAAAGAUUCAAGAUGAGCAAUAUUCUAGCACCAAUCUUCACCUGUAACAUACCACAUCCAUCGUAAAUCAUGCCGAGUUUCGUCGAAAUGAGCGGAACACGGAGUUGAGUGAGUUAAAAUGGACCUUAAACGCAUUAGAGUCCAUAAGUGAAGCUAAAAGGGACCCGAGAGAGAAAAUCAGAAAAUCUGGCUAAGUCCCAGAUUUUGUGCUCUCGGGGACCGGUCCGUGAAGGAGAGACCGGUCCCCGUACGCGUAGCCUGCCAGGAAACCCCGAGGCAUCCGGUCCCUGGUGGUGAGACCGGUCCUUGGGAGACCGAUCCCUGGGGGAGAGACCGGUCCCUCGCUGCGCAGCCAGCCAAAAACCCGAAAAUUUGGUUAAGUCCUGGAAAACCCUCGUUCGGGAACCGGUCCCUGGUCGGGAAGACCGGUCCCCGAAGCCAAAAAAUGCCCAAUCUGGGCAGAUCAAUGGGAAAUAAGUGGAGGGGCUUAAGUUCAAUUAUUACAACACUAUAUAUGGCCCAUUCCCUCUCUUCCACAACCAUUUCUCUCAUCUUCUCUCAUUUCCCCUCUUUCUCUCUCUAGAACUCCCCUAGAACUUGGAGAAGAGGAGGAAGAACUUGGAGAAGAAGGUGGAUUUGGUGCUUUGGAGGUUCUAGGAGCUCUCCAACAAGAAGAACCUUGGUGGAGCUUGGACUAGAGGUAAGUUUUGUGAGGUUUUCCUCUAGGGUUUGGGUUUUGGUUUGGAGAAUUGGAGCUAUGUGCUCCUUAGGGGCUUUAGAGGCUCUUUUGAGCCAUGAAUGCCAUGGUACCCAUGAGAGCUCAAGGUGCUCUCAUGGUGAACCCUUGGAAGUUGUGUUAGGAGCCCUAGGGUUGGUUCCAAAGGUCUAGAAACCUUACUAGGAUGCUCUUUAGAUGAUUCUAAGCUAUUAUUCGCUUAGGGUUGAGAUCGAUUCAUGGGGAAACCCUAAAUGACAUUGUUAAGGCUUGAAAAUUGGGACUUUUGCCCUUAGAUUUUUCGGAGACAAAUUGACCUCGUAGAAACCUAAUUGGGGGUGUCCUAAACGCAUGGGACAACUUCGUUUAGCAUUACGAAAAUGUUUGGGAGUAGUUCAUAUGUAAAGGGCCUAAUUUGGCACCAUUUUGGGUUGCAGAACGCAGAGCCGGCGUUCGUAGCGCUCGGUAGUCACUACAUUCCACACCCACACGAUCAUUAGAGGUGGGGGGUGCACGCCGGAAUCGUUGGAUUCCUUUCUACGUCUAUUUCUCUAUUCUUGAGCAUAUGGUUGUUUAUUCCUUCAUACAUAUUAGGGUUAAUGCACAUGUGAACUUUAGUUGUUUUUAUUAUGUUAUCGCAAGGGUAUUUGAAAAUAGAGAGAAAUGGAACCAUGAUGGACAUGUGUUGUGGAACCCUAGGUAUUGCAUGAUAGUGGGACUUGGACUUAGCACAAGUAAACAAUGGGGACAAUGACAAUAGAGAGAUAGAUUGGCUUAGACAAAUCGAUGUUAAACAUAGAUUUAACUAUAGUGACAUUACGAUGAGAUCGACUAGAAAGUGGCAUGAAAACAUAGGUAGAAAACCUAUCACAAAAGUGGCAAUGUGACAUGUGGCUAAAUAUCCUCAACUUGGGGAUUUGAUCGACACUCAUAAUAAGUCUUGGCUUGAGGGAGGUCGCUCCUUCUCAAGCGGUGUGUUUCCGGAAAUCGACACCACAGGAAGCGAGGUCCCUGAAGACGGUCCCUCGGGUCGGUAGUGCUUGGAGCCUCCCCGGUAAAGAAAGGGAUUUCGGGUUAUGAGUUUUUGGGGUUAACGAGGUUAACCGGUAAGAUUGGGUAAGAGCCAGAGCUUAAUUAUGAUUUGAGCAUGCAUGCAUAUUUCAGUAUGGCAUCGAGUAUAUGUAUCCACUGAUAUUCUUCUGCAGGCAUGGUAUUAGAUGCAUUAAUAAUGGUUAGUUUUCAUUCCUUCAAAUACUUAUGCCUGGAUAGACCUAGUGGGUAAGUCGGCAAGGUCGGAUGCCGAACCCACUGGGAACUUCGUUGUAGUUCUCACACCACUAACCCUACAGGUCCUAGCACGAGCAAGGCGGCGGAGGACCGAGGCAAGGGUAUCGCGCCGUAGAUAGCGGCCACCGGGACUUUAUACAUUUUGUAGUCAUUCCCCUUUUUCUUUUGGUGUACAUGUAUCAACUUCUUUGAUUGAUUUAGAAAUGUAAAGUUGUAGAUAAUUAUGUAAUUUUGGGUGGAUGGCUAAAUGUAAAAAAGAAAUGAUGGUUGAAUGGAAAUGCAAUAGUUUUAUUUACUUGUAUUUGGGUCAAAUGCAAUCAAGUAUCUUGUAUGUUAUAUGAUGUAGCUUAGAGCUUUCGCUUCCGUUGUUGCUUGCCCUCGUGCAAGCCUUGUAUUAUAUAUGCAAAUCUCUUGUUGAUUGCCUAUUUAUACAUGUUGUUAGAGCCUUGGGCGGACAGGGGAGGCCCUGUCCGUUCGGCGUCUGUUGAUGUGACCCGAUCCCGACCAAGUUGGCGGGGAUUGGGGCGUGACAGAUAUAAUGGUAUCAGAGCGAAGUGGAAAGUAAAAGUCUAGGAAUGACCUAGAAACCUUAGGAUGGAGACCAUAGGGACUUAGGAAAACGCUUGACGUGGACUUGGUUUAUGCGAAAGUGAGUGAUUGGGUUAAUGGUAACACUUCUUUAGAAGAAAGUAGAGAUGGACUAGAAGGCGUACUUGUUGUCUACUUAAGGGACUUUGUGGGGCGGCCGACCACAUGACACCAAGAGUGGGAACGAUUAUGCUUGUUGCUUUCGCUUAAUUGGGUAGUUACUUGGAACGCGUGAGAGUCACGUGCCUUGAGUGCUAAUGUGUGUGUGCAUUGCAUUUCAGGACGCGAUGGCACCGCCAAGGAGAGUUACGAGGUCCACACCGGCGGAGCCUCGGGAGGAGCCCGGGCAGUCGGGGUCGGACGAAGUGCGCAAGUUGCGAGCCCAAGUAGCGGCCUUGGCCGGGGCUAUGCGGCUUCGAGGGGAGCAUAUUAGGCAGCUCCACGAGAUGAUGGCGCGACAGGCAGCGGCGGCAUCAGUGCCAAGGGAUCCACCCCCACCGGCUGCUCUUGUAGCACCACCUCCUCCGGUGGCGCAUCGCCAGUGACGGCUAUUCCUGCGACGGCAUCGGGUUCAUCGGCUCCUAUUUUCGAUGUACUUGAGGAUGAGCAGGAGCGUACGUUGGCGGCGCUGACGGCAUUUAAACGAUUCAACCCUUCGACCUUCAACGGUGACGUGAAGGACCCUUGGACGACGGAGAAUUAGCUAGCCGUGAUGGAGGCCUUGUUCGAGGAUAUCUAUACCCUCGAGAAGGAUAAAGUUCAUUUGGCGGCUCAUUGUUUUGAUGGGUCGGCCCGGUUGUGGUGGAAUCAAGCGAGGAAAAAUCGCUCGCUAGGGCACCCUUUUCUUACUUGGGAAGCGUUCCGAGAGAUGCUGCUUAUGGAGUAUUUCCUCGAGAGCAACAAAAGAAAAAUCAAGGAGGAUUUUCGGAAGUUAAGACAAGGAAGCCGAUCAGUGCGGGAGUACGAGAGGGAGUUCACGCACAUGAUUAACUGCGUACCGAACUUGGUUCACGGUGAUAGGGAUCGAGCGGAGGUAUUUGAGCGCGGGUUGCGACCCGAAAUUUUCAAGGUUAUUCAUGCAUUUCGCUUGAAGACCUAUGAGGAAGUGCUUGAUCGCAUGCUUUGGGUAGAGCGCGGGAAUGCCAUCGCGCGUGACGAGCACGAGACUUUUGAGAGAGACAGGGAAAGAGAUAAGACCAAGAAGCGACCGGCUGGUGGAUCUGCGGGGCAAUCAAGUUCUAAGCGACCCCCGCGACCUCCGCGAUCACAGUGGCGGGGAGGUAGGAGUCAGACCCAGAGCCGUGUCGCCUAUCCAUGUGUGAUCUGCGGUGAAGACCACCGGGUUACCUCUUGCGCACAGCGAGAGGGGCGAUGCUAUCGGUGUGGCCAGGCAGGCCACAUUGGCCGAGAGUGCCCGGGCGGCCCGUCCCCAGCCCCGUCAUCAGCUUCAGUUCAAUACACUCAGCGACAGCUGGUGGGACUGCCACCCGCAACAUCGGCUGGUCGAUCGCCGGCGCUUCGUCAGCCGGAGGCUUCUCGAGCACCUAGUGGGCGAAUUUUUACCACUCAGGUGGAGGAGCAGCCGAUCAUUGUUCCCGACGACGUUGUAGCAGGUAUUAUUCUGAUCAGAGGCACUAGAGCUAGAGCUAUAUUUGAUACUGGUGUAUCUCAUUCCUUCAUAUUAGCAUCAUUUGCACAAGCUCAUGACAUAGAGGUCACGCAUAGCGAAGAGUAUUGAUCGGUGAACACUCCCGAGCACUCUUUCGACGUUCACGACGAGUGCUUGGACUGCCUAGUGCAAAUAGGUGAUUGGAUCAUGCCGAUCAACCUUCUAGUGUUAAAGGAAAUGUGGGGCUUCGAGGUAAUCUUGGGGAUCAAUUGGCUCUCUAAGUAUUACGCAGUUAUGGAUUGCGAAAGGAGGGUGAUCACGUUCCAUGAACCCAACCAAGAGGAGUUUGUCUAUCGGGCGUGUAAAGGUAAACGCUUCGCAACCACUAUAUCAACGGUGAGGGUGAAAAGGAUGAUCAAGGGUGGUUGUAAGGCCUACUUGGCGACCAUCGUAGACCCUUGACAGGAGUACCCGAAACUAGAGAGUAUUCGAGUUGUGCGGGAGUAUCCGGAUGUAUUCCCAGCGGAGUUACCGGGAUUGCCUCCGGAUCGGGAAGUCGAGUUUGUCAUUGACUUGAUUCCCGGAGCGGCGCCAAUUUCGAAGGCUCCGUAUAGAAUGGCACCGAUGGAGCUAAAAGAGUUAAAAGCUCAAUUACAAGAUUUGCUCGAUAAAGGCUUCGUGCGCCCGAGCGUGUCCCCAUGGGGAGCUCCAGUGCUAUUUGUAAAGAAGAAAGACGGCACACUUCGACUCUGUGUCGAUUAUCGCGAAUUGAAUAGAGUGACAAUCAAGAACAAAUACCCAUUGCCAAGAAUUGAUGACCUGUUCGAUCAGUUGCAAGGGUCAAGGGUAUAUUCAAAGAUUGAUCUGCAGUCGGGGUAUCAUCAACUGAAGAUACAUCCCAAAGAUGUGCACAAGACAGCGUACCGUAUGCGGUAUGGCCACUAUGAGUUUACGGUCAUGCCAUUCGGGCUCACUAAUGCCCCGGUGGCAUUUAUGGACCUAAUGAAUCGCAAUCUUCCGUUCGCUAUUGGACUGGUGCGUCGUGGUCUUCAUUGACGACGUAUUGGUAUAUUCUCGGACCAAAGAAGAACACGAGGAGCAUCUAAGACUCGUGUUGGAGAUACUCCGGAAGGAAAAGCUUUAUGCAAAACUAAAGAAAUGCGAGUUUUGGCUUUCGGAGGUUACCUUCUUGUCACAUUGUAUCCAGAGAUGGCAUCUCGGUGGACCCAAAGAAAGUUGAGGCGAUUAAAGAUUGGCUUCGCACGACAAGUGUAGCGGAGAUUCGUAGCUUCCUUGGACUUGCGGGCUAUUACCGGCAGUUCGUGGAGGGGUUUGCUAGGAUAACAACUCCACUGACGCGCCUUACGCACAAAGGGGUAAAGUAUGUUUGGAGCCCCGAGUAUGAGCGGAGCUUUGAGGAGCUAAAGAAUAGACUGAUAUCUACUACGGUGCUUGCUUUACCGACGCCGGGAGAGAGUUAUGUCGUAUACAGUGAUGCUUCAUACGUCGGUCUCAGGUGUGUGUUAAUGCAAAACAGCCGAGUCAUAGCUUAUGCUUCGCGCCAGUUGAAUAGUUAUGAAAAGAACUACCCGACUCACGACCUUGAGCUAGCGGCGGUUAUAUUUGCGCUAAAACUGUGGAGGCAUUACCUGUAUGGGGAACAUUGUGAGAUCUACACCGAUCAUAAAAGUCUCAAAUACUUGUUCACCCAGAAGGAGCUGAACUUGCGACAGCGGCGGUGGUUAGAGUUACUUAAAGAUUAUGACGUCACGAUUCUCUACCACCCCGGGAAAGCGAACGUUGUAGCUGAUGCCUUAAGUAGGAAGUCGGCGGAAAAUUUGGCGACGGAGAUUACACCUCAACCGGCUUUGCAAAAGGAGAUGCAGCCGUUUGGACUAGAAGUUGUGGCGCCGGGAGUGCCGGCAACACUCGCCACCUUAGUUGUGCAGCCAACCUUGUUGGAGAAAAUUAAAGAAUUACAAGCGUCGGAUGAAUUUCUCCAAAAGGUGCGGGGCAAAGUUGAGAGCGGUAGUGCCGAUGAUUUUGGCAUUGGAACCGACGGCGCACUACGAUAUCGAGAUCGUUGGUGCGUGCCCAAGGACGACGACCUUCGGAGGGCGAUUAUGCAAGAAGCGCAUCAAUCUCCCUAUAGCAUUCACCCGGGCGGCACCAAAAUGUAUCGAGAUUUGAAAUUGCAUUAUUGGUGGCCGGGCAUGAAGAAAGAUAUAGAAAAGUUCGUGGCGCAAUGUCCACGUGCCAACAAGUGAAGGCGAAGCGUCGAUUUCCGGCGAAAAAUUGCGAAGUCUACCUAUACCUGUGUGGAAAUGGGAAAACAUCGCGAUGGACUUUGUGACAAGUUUGCCAAGGUCACAAGGUGGACAUGACGCGAUUUGGGUAGUUGUGGACCGGUUUACAAAAUCGGCGCAUUUUUUGCCGAUCCACGCUACUUGGUCGGGAGACAAGUUAGCUCAAGUCUAUAUUGACGAGGUGGUGAGACUCCAUGGGGUUCCGGUAUCUAUUGUGUCGGAUCGGGACCCUAGGUUCACAUCUCAUUUUGAAGAGCUUACAAGAUGCAUUAGGCACGCGGCUCGACUUUAGUACGGCAUUCCAUCCUCAAAGUGACGGUCAAUCGGAGAGGACGAUUCAAAUACUUGAGGACAUGCUUCGAGCGUGUGUACUUGAUUGUAAGGGCGGAUGGCACAAUCACUUACCGAUGGCGGAAUUCGCAUACAACAAUAGCUAUCAAGAGAGCAUUGCGAUGGCGCCAUUCGAGGCCCUGUAUGGAAGAAAAUGUCGCUCGCCGAUACAUUGGAGCGAUGUGGGCGAGAAGAUGGUUCUUGGCCCGAAAGUGGUGCGGGAGGCGGAAGAGAAAGUCCGCCUGGCCCGACAAAGAUUGGUGACGGCGCAAUCAAGGCACAAAAGUUAUGCCGACAAGCGGCGAAAGGAUAUUGAGUUCGCGGUAGGAGACCGCGUAUUUCUAAAAGUAUCGCCGAUGUGAGGAGUUAAGCGAUUCGGUGUUCGCGGGAAGCUAAGCCCCGCUACAUCGGACCCUUCGAGAUUCUAGAACGAGUUGGCGUGGUGGCCUAUAAGUUGGCAUUACCACCGAGGCUCGCGGGAGUACAUGAUGUAUUCUAUGUAUCCCAACUUCGCAAAUAUGUGUAUGAUCCAGAUCAUGUUCUCUCGUAUAUACUGAUAGAACUUCAAGAGGAUAUGACAUAUGAGGAGUUCCCGACGCACAUUGUGGAUCGGGAAGUAAGAAAACUACGGAACCGCGAAAUCCCGUAUGUUAAAGUUCAUUGGUGCGAACAUGAUGACCGGGAAGAAACGUGGGAGCUCGAAAGCGAAAUGAGGGAGCGUCAUCUUCACAUUUUCGAGGAUCUAAAGUGAGGUACGGAAUUUAAAUUUCAAACUUAAUAGUUUCGAGGACGAAACUAAAUUUUAGGGGUGGAGAAUGUAACAUACCACAUCCCUCGUAAAUCGUGCCGAGUUCGGUCGAAACGAGCGGAACACGUAGUUGAGUGAGUUAGAAUGGACCCUAAGCGCAUUAGAGUCCAUAAGUGAAGCUAAAAGGGAUCCGAGAGAGAAAAUCAGAAAAUCUGGCUAAGUCCCAGAUUUUGUGCUCUCGGAGACCGAUCCCUGAAGGAGAGACCGGUCCCUGUACGCGUAGCCUGCCAAGAAACCCCGAGGCAUCCGGUCCCUGGUGGUGAGACCGGUCCCUGGGGGAGAGACCGGUCCCUCGCUGUGCAGCCAGCCAAAAAUCCGAAAAUUUGGCUAAGUCCUGGAAAACCCCCGUUCGGGAACCGGUCCCUGGUCGGGGAGACCGGUCCCCGAAGCCAAAAAAUAAGUGGAGGGGCUUAAGUGCAAUUAUUACAACACUAUAUAUGGCCCAUCCCCUCUCUUCAGAUCAAUGGGAAAUAAGUGGAGGGGCUUAAGUGCAAUUAUUACAACACUAUAUAUGGCCCAUCCCCUCUCUUCCACAGCCAUUUCUCUCAUCCUCUCUCAUUUCCCCUCUUUUUCUCUCUAGAACUUCCCUAGAACUUGGAGAAGAAGAGAAAGAACUUGGAGAAGAAGGUGGAUUUGGUGCUUUAGAGGUUCUAGGAGCUCUCCAACAAGAAGAAUCUUGGUGGAGCUUGGACUAGAGGUAAGUUUUGUGAGGUUUUCCUUUAGGCUUUGGGUUUUGGUUUGGAGAAUUGGAGCUAUGUGCUCCUUAGGGGCUUUAGAGGCUCUUUUGAGCCAUGAAUGCCAUGGUACCCAUGAGAGCUCAAGGUGCUCUCAUGGUGAACCCUUGGAAGUUGUGUUAGGAGCCCUAGGGUUGGUUCCAAAGGUCUAGAAAUCUUACUAGGAUGCUCCUUAGAUGAUUCUAAACUAUUAUUCGCUUAGGGUUGAGAUCGAUUCAUGGGGAAACCCUAAAUGACAUUGUUAGGGCUUGAAAAUUGGGAUUUUUGCCCUAGGAUUUUUCGGGGACAAAUUGACCUCGUAGAAAUCUAAUUGGGGGUGUCCUAAACGCGUGAGACAACUCCGUUUAACAUUACGAAAAUGUUUGGGAGUAGUUCAUAUGUAAAGGGCCUAAUUACCAUUUUGGGUUGUAGGACGCGGAGCCGGCGUUCGUAGCGCUUGGGAGUCACCACAUUCUACACCCACACGAUCAUUAGAGUUGGGGGGUGCACGCCGGAAUCGUUGGAUUCCCUUCUAUGUCUAUUUCUCUAUUCUUGAGCAUAUGGUUGUUUAUUCCUUCAUGCAUAUUAGGGUUAAUGCACAUGUGAACUUUGAUUGUUUUCAUUAUGUUAUCGCAAGGGUAUUUGAAAAUAGAGAGAAAUGGAACCAUGAUGGACAUGUGUUGUGGAACCCUAGGUAUUGCAUGAUAGUGGGACUUGGACUUAGCACAAGUAAACAAUGGUGACAAUGACAAUAGAGAAAUAGAUUGGCUUGGACAAAUGGAUGUUAAACAUAGAUUUAACUAUAGUGACAUUACGAUGAGAUCGACUAGAAAGUGGCAUGAAAACACAGGUAGAAAACCUAUCACAAAAGUGGAAAUGUGACAUGUGGCUAAAUAUCCUCAACUUGGGGAUUUGAUCGACACUCAUAAUAAGUCUUUGCUUGAGGGAGGUCGCUCCUCCUCAAGCGGUGUGUUUCCGGAAAUCGACACCACAGGGAGCGAGGUCCCUGAAGACGGUCCCUCGGGUCGGUAGUGCUUGGAGCCUCCCCGGUAAAGAAAGGGAUUUUGGGUUAUGAGUUUUUGGGGUUAAUGAGGUUAACCAGUAAGAUUGAGUAAGAGCCAGCGCUUAAUUAUGAUUUGAGCAUGCAUGCAUAUUUCAUUAUGGCAUCGAGUAUAUGUACCCACUGAUAUUCUUCUACAGGCAUGGUAUUAGAUGCAUUAGUAAUGGUUACUUUUGCUUCCUUGAAAUACUUAUGCCUGGAUAGACCUAGUGGGUAAGUCGGCAAGGUCGGAUGCCGAAUCCACUGGGAACUUCGUUGUAGUUCUCACACCACUAACCCUACAGGUCCUAGCACGAGCGGGGCGGCGGAGGACCGAGGCAAGGCUAUAAUGCCGUAGAUAGGGUCCACCGGGACUUUAUACAUUUUGUAGUCAUUUUCCUUUUUCUUUUGGUGUACAUGUAUCAACUUCUUUGGUUGAUUUAGAAAUGUAAAGUUGUAGACAAUCAUGUAAUUUUGGGUGGAUGGCUAAAUGUAAAAAGAAAAUGAUGGUUGAAUGGAAAUGUAAUAGUUUUAUUUACUUGUAUUUGGUUCAAAUUCAAUCAAGUAUCUUGUAUGUUAUAUGAUGUAGCUUAGAGCUUUCGCUUCCGUUGUUGCUUGCCCUCGUGCAAGCCUUGUAUUAUAUAUGCAAAUCUCUUGUUGAUUGCCUAUUUAUACAUGUUGUUAGAGCCUUGAGCGGACAGGGGAGGCCCUGUCCGUUCGACGUCUGUUGACGUGACCCGAACCCGACCAAAUUUGCGGGGAUUGGGGCGUGACAGACACUUGAAGCUGUGUUUGCAUCCUUUGUCAAAUAGACAAACCAUUCUUAAUUUGAUUAAUAUUUUGCCUUAUGAUUAGAGUGAGAAAUUUUGAGCUAAGUUUAAACUAUUCAUUUUAUCACCUUAUAGAUCACUUAAACAAAUUUCUAAAUUUAUGAUUAGGUGAAAAGGACUUUUAAAUAUUCAAAAAUUGCUCAAAUUCUGUGUUCUGUCAAGUUGAAAUUUCUGGACCCUAUUCUGGGCGCCCUAAAGUGGAUCCGAAUCUUUUGAGACUUUUUGGAUCUUGCCUGUUUGCUGUUCGGGUGAUCCAAAAACUUCUGGGCACCAUUACUUCAAAUUAGGGCAACCAAGGUUAUUUGACUUGACAGGUUGCAUAUCAGCCCAAAAAUUCUGACAGCAGGCGGCGCGCAAUACUGGGCGCCCAGAUUUUAUGGAAGCCCAUAAAUGAUCUUGGUAAGCGGCGCACGCAAUCUGGGCUGUCUGGCAAGAAAGUCAGCACGAUUUUCUGGGCGCCCACAACUUUUGACGGCUCGAAUCCAGAAAAACGGCGCAUGUCAGAAAAGUUGUCCCUCGAGAUCUGGGUGCCCAUAAUUUCUGAUGGCCCAAAUCCAGAGGUGGCGGCGCGUGUCAGAAAAGCUGUUCCUCGUGUUCUGUGCGCCCACAACUUUUGACGGCCCGAACAUACAAAGUCAAGAAAAGCGGCGCACGUGGUCCGACAGGCAGCUGGCGUGCACAACUUCUGGGCGCUCGGAAACAGGUUUAGGGCGCCUGAAAGUACAACCGAUAGAAGCUGCCCGAGGCUGUAAAUAGAUGGUAUUGAGGCCUCUCUCUGCAGCAACUUAGUAAUUCAUUUGAGCUUAAAAAUUUUAGUGAUCUUUAUACUCUUAGCUCUCAAUUCUUUCUCUAAACUUGAGUGAAAUUGGUAGUGAGAUUUAAUCUUGUAAAAAGUGAGAAAAUCAAAGUCUUGAAGCUUGAGAAGAAGGAGUUGAUGUGAAGGCUUGGUGCUUGCCCGCAAAAGCAUCAUCUAGUGGAGAUCCAACAUUCUCGAGUGAUUGAGAAGUUGGCGGGGACGUAGGCAAAGUGCCGAACCUCGAAACAAAUUGAUCGUGUGCUUUUCGAGUUUGCAUUUCUUUUAUUUGCAUCGGUUUUUAAUUUGCUUGAUUAUUUGGAUUUUUAUUUUAGAAACCUAAUUCACCCCCCCUCUUAGGUUGCCAUUUUGAUCCUCAAGUGUUAGACCACCCAUAUGUUUGAGCCCUAGCGUGAUAGGAAGGCUCAUCAUUUAAUUUGAAAUAAAAGUAUUAACUGAAAAGUUGCCCCAGCUAAAGAACAAUUAGUGUCUCUUGUUAUGGCUACAAGUUUAGAUUUUUUGUUCCUAGUUUGACUCCUCCAUUAUCUGGCGUUACGUAAGCUGAGAUACAAAAGAACAUUUAGCUCAUAGUCUUAAAAAUUCAUUGAUCAUGGAUCUAAUAAGAAGGAUGAAGUUUCAAAUCAGAUCAAUAUCUAGAUUCUUAACAUUAUAAGAGAAUUCAAUUUUGUUAAGUAUUUGUAUCGGUAAUAACAACUAUCACUACUCUUGACAUUUUAUAUUUUCCUCUUUCUGUUGUCAAUAGACCUAAAAUUUUGCUCAUUAACUAUUUUAUCUGGUGUUUCCUGGUAGAUUAGAUUCUUUCUUUUGCUAGUACUCAUCAGAAUUCUAUUCCACUUAAACCUGAGCUGGAUUAGAGAAUGAAUUACACUACCCAGCUUAAUAGAACAAGCCAUCAACAAAGAUUGUUCAUCAAUAUAAUGCCUAUAUACUAUGACUGAUCAGAUUUUGAAAAACUACGGUUAUUUACCUGCCCUAAAGUACGCAGCACAUUACACCAAUAAUGAUGAGGAACUUCUUUUCUUAUAAAAAGAAUUUCAGAUUUGAUUGAUUAAGAUAAGAGAUUUGUAAAUCAUUCUAAACUACAUAGAAAAUAAAUUAGGCGUGAGAGAUCCUUACAAGGCCCAUGACAGCAGAAACCACAAUCGCAGCCAAGGCACACUAAUACAGAGAAAAGCAAAUCAACAGUGAGUAGAUAUGUUUCAUGAUUGUGAAAGCAUAUAGGAAAGAGAUUACAUGGAAAAAACAAAAGAAGUAGUAAUAUUUAAUUAGUUCUUCGCUGCUACAAUUUCACAAUUAGUUCCUGCUAUGAAAUGAUGUUAACAGAGGAAUUCAAUUAGAUGUGACGAGGUAAACUAGCAACAUUGAACUAUGAAUUUGAGUAAAGAUAGCGGUAUUACUAAUCAAUCAUAUUAUUGCUUAUUCAAUAGAGAAAUAUUGUUAUUGAAAAUAUGGCCUCAAUAUGAUAGUAAUAGUAUGCAUGAAAAGUUCAUAACUAAUACUAUUGGAUAUGCAGUUUUAAAAGUUAUACCUAAGGUAUGUCACUAAAUAAUGGUGUCAUAAACAUAAGGGCACAACCAAUUAUAAUGCCCAUAGUGAUUCCAGAUAAUCCAGUCUAUGCGCCACUCUCAUGAUUUACAGCUGACCUGGAAAAUGAACCUGCAUAAAAAAUAGUGAGACUCCAUCUCACUAACUCACGCUAGCUCAAACCUAGGCUUAACUAUUUUUAUCUGGAAAUGCAAAGAAUAAAAAGUAAACAUUAGUCAGACCUUGUAAUAUACACAGGAUGAGUAUCUUACCAUUCAAACACAUAGAUUCGUGUAGAGGAACAAUCACAGGUACCAAACAAUAUCAUCAUCGCGCAUGAAUGACUUGACAAAAAAAUUAUUCUUCAACUAGCUUAACAUUACUAAAUGAAUGAUUCAAUCCUCAUGGUCUCACAGGUUACAAUGUCAAGAAAUUUCAGAAGUAGCAAUAAAUCAUUAAGCGAUAAUUUCACAAACAAUUAUUCAAAAUAUAAAUUUGCAAAACAAAUAGCUUUUUCUAAAUGUGUCAUAAUUGAGAUAAGUACCACGAAUUUUCAGCAAAAUAAUUCAAAAAUUAAUUCCAAACCCAUUCAAAAACCGAACAAAAAAUCUAAAAAAACCAAUAGAAUCGGCAAAGGAGCAAAGGGCCUUAUCCUCCCACGCCGCAAUGAAAGCUGUAGUAGCAGACAACGAUGAGGUGAAUAUUCCGGCGAGCGACAGUGAAGGCGGAUGUAACACACUGGACCUGUGCAAAUUGCGAGGUUCGAGUGAUUGGAUGUGUUUUGAGCUUUUCCACGCUUUGUGGAGGAUCAUAGAAGGUGUUCCGACCUAAAAAGUUUGAAUCUUGGAAUUUCUGCUAAGUCCUGAGAGUUUUACUCUCGGGGACCGAUCCCUGCAGGGAAAGACCGGUCCCCCGGCGAGGCAACCGGUCCCUGGCGGAUGAGACUAGUCCCCGAGCGCGUUUUCGCGGGGAGAGACCGGUUCCAUGCGGGGAGAGACCGGUUCCCGAGAACAAGUUUUGUGGGAUGGACCUGAGAGAUCGGUCCCAAGCAGGGAGAGACCGGUCCCUCUGGGCGAAAUCUGCCCAGUCCGGGCUUUGCACAGGUUGCAAAGUUGAGGACUUUUCUGGAUUUUGUUACACUAGAGGGCCUAUAUGGCCAUUUCACUUCCCUUUCUCCCUUAUUUCACCCUCCCACUUGCUUUUAGAGAGAGAAGGAGAAGAAGGAGGAGAAGGAAGGAGAAGGAGAGCUUGUUUGAGGACUUGGAGCUUCACCCUCACCCUCUUUUCUUCCAUUUGAUGGUUUGGAGCUUGCUUUUGGAGCUUCGUGGUGGAUCAAUUUUCAACACUAGAGGAUUUUGAGCUUGGUUUGGAGCUUCCUAGAGGUUAGUUGCUUGUUCCUCCCUUCUAGACCUAGUUUUGGUGGAUUUUGGAAGAUGAAACCCUAGAAUGGAAAACCUAGGUUUUAUUUGGGGCUUUUUGAUUAGAGGCUUUUUGAGCUAAUCUAAUUGGAUUAGAACCUUAGUUUAGGUUGCUUUGGAAGGGAUCUAGCUUUCAUUUGAGCUUUGGAAAGGAAUUUCUACACUAUAGGUGAGAUUUGGCCCUUUUGCUUAGUAGGUUAAUGUUUGAGCUUGUAGUUGAUCGGAAGGUUCGUUUAACCUUUGUUCUUGUGCCUCUAGGGUACUAAGAGGCUAGCGGACACCUUCGUCGGAGCUUACGAAGGGUUGCGCAAGUUUCGGUGGGUUUGACCUAGCUUACAAUAUGAGAGAUGCUCAUAUUUUGUGAUUUAUGCUUCGUAAAGUAGAAAUUCAUGCAUUUUCAUACUAAAUGUAUUUAUUGUGAAUUUUAGAAUGCUUAACAUCCCUAUGUCAUGUAUAAUAAAUUUUCGGACCUCUAUGUAGUAGAGAGUUGCAUGUGAGGCUUAUACUAGCAUUUGGCAUUCUAAUGUUGGACUUGGGACCAUGUUUCUUACAAUGAAAAUGAGUAUUGUUUAGUACUCUUAAACCUAUACAUUUUAGAGACAUGAGAGAUAGCUAAUGCCAUAAAGAGGCAUCGGACUAGACCGUUAUGGAAAAAUUUGGAGCUAAUGUCAUAAAGUGGCAUUGAGCUCGGGUUAUGUGUGAACCUAGUACUAGUGUCAUGAUUGGAACAUAGAAUAUGAAAUGUGCUUAACUUAUAGCAAUGCUUAAGUGUCAUAAAGAGGCACUACGCAAGGUGAGUGUUGGGACAUCAUAUUGGAACAUAGAACUAGACCGUUGGGUGACUAGUGACUAUUACCAAGUUAGAGACAUGAUGAUUGAUUACUUGAGACGAUGACUUUGCUUGCUUGCCAUUUGUGCUCAUUCGCACAUACUUGUCGCUCCCUACAAGCCGGCACUCCGGAAUUGGCCUACGCGACUUAUGUUCGCUCGUGCGGUAUCAAGAAACCUACGGGGUCGGGAGGGAUAGACUCAUUUUCAGAGUGAAAAUGCUGGAGCUACCACCGACACUUAGGCGGCGCAAGCCGGACUACACUCGUGUAGCUCCUAAAACAAGAUUGAGCUUGGACAUAAACUCUUAAACAUAAAUCACUACUAGAUGAAUCAUAGUAGUUGGAUUACUUGGCAUAUUUAUAGUGUGGCUUUGAGAUUUUGGGACAUGUAGUAUACUUGAUAGAAUUGCUUUGCAUCUUAGUAUACUUGGCAGUUAUGAUGAACAUUUCCCCUUGUAUUGGCAUAUUCAAUCAUGAUAGCAUUGAUACACAUCAUUUUUACAUGUAGCAUAGUAGCAUAGCAUUUCAUACAUGCUUUCAAUUCAGCAGCUUAUUAUUGUCUAAUACUAUCGUUACUUACCCCUUUUCUUUGGGCCUAGUAGUGCAUUGUGCUGAGGUCAGUAAUUGCCCACUGGGAACUAUAAAUUAUAGUUCUCACGCCCUUUGUUUCUUGCUUUUAUUUCAGAGCCUUCUACUCCGGGCGAGGCUAGGGACCGAGGAAAGGGAAUCGCCACGAGCUAGCUUGUGAGCGAGGGACGUUCGAUAGGUGGUCCACCUCUUCUUUGUUUUCUUUUUGGGAGAGGAUGAGAGUUGUAUCUUGUAUAGAGACCACCCUUUUUGUAGUGCUUUUGUGACGACUCUUGUACUGACUUUAUCUUUUUCUUUAGCAGUUUACUUUCCCCUUUCUCUACUUGUUGUUAGUUGUUAGCUGUUAGUAGCUCUGAUAUCUCUAGUAACUUUAUUUCUUCUUGCUUCCAUAUCUCUUUUGUUGUAGAUGCCUUAUAUGUGCAGGCAUAUGGCGGGUCUGGGCAUGCACCGGGCGGGCCUAUGCCGGGUCCCGGGGCGUGACAGAUUAAUUUGGUAUCAGAGUCUAGGGUUGAGUCUUAGAGGACCUACUAAACCUUAGGCCGGUUGGACUAUAGGAAAUAGGCUCGUGAGAGACGAGGUCUAUUUGACUUGUAAGCGAAAGUAUUUCAAUUGGGUUUUAUGAUAACUCUAAAAAGUUAGAGUUGAUUGGAGUGUAUGACUUCUAACUUCGCGGAGGGUUACGUUGGCGGCCGACAACGUAAUAUCGGGACUUAGUGGUGAAGAACACUCCUUACUUUCGCAAGAUUUGGGUUUUGUCUACUUUGAGCGGGGAUGCGAUAGCGUGGGUUUUACUAACUUGCACUUUUAUGUUUGUAGUGGCGAUGCCGAUUACACGCUCCCAAUCUACCGGAGCGGAUGAUGCGGCACACCUCGAGGAGGUUGAGACCUCCGCUACUUCCGGAUCUAGCGAGGUCCGCGACUUGAGGUCCCAGCUUGCGGUCCUCACUGAUCUUGUAGCGCAGCAGGCGGCGGCGGCGUAACGACAGGCCGAGGUGGCACAGCGGCAGGAGGCGCGAAUGAAUCACCUGGAGGAUCUCUUGCUACAGCAGGCGGCAGCUUCUAGGGAGACUCAGGUUUCCACACCACCAGCGCCCGUUGUGAACGUUGCGCCGAGGGCGCAAUCCCCCGCGCCCAGUUCUUCGUGUGCCGCGGCCGAGACCGAACCUCGGGAGGAAGUGGUCACAGCACCACCGGUUCAGAUACCUGCGGCGAGGGCAGCUUUCCCUGUGAUAGCUGAGGGAGCCGAGCUGGAUCGGCUCAUGGAUCGCCUCAGUGAGUUCAGGAGGUGCGGUCCGAGGAUCUUUGACGGCGAGAAGGUCGACCACUAGAUUGUUGAGAAGUGGUUGAUGCAUAUGGAGAAGCUUUUUCGAGAUACCUUUGUUGAGGAAAGGGAUAGAGUUUGGCUCGCCACACAUCACUUGGACGGCGAGGCCUAUUGUUGGUGGUUGAAUAUCUAGGACAACCCUAACACUGAUUUGGUAGCAAUUUCUUGGACGAGCUUCAAGGAGCUUCUUCUGGCGCACUACUUCUCUACCAGCGUCAAGAGGAAGAUGGAGAAGGACUUGCGCAGCUUACGCCAGGAGGAGCGGACAGUGGCCGAGUACGAGAGGGAGUUUUCUUGGCUACUCCACUGUGUACCCUUCGUAGUGCGGGACGACGAGGACAAGGUUUGCAUUUUCGAGCAUGGAUUGCGGCCUUCGAUCUUUCGGUUGGUGCAGUCCUCCAACUUCCAAACCUACCGGGAGGUUGUGAACCGCGCCCUCAUCAUGGAGAGCAGCGCGGUGGAGCUUCAGGAGCAUCGCGAGGGCUUGGAGAAGGGGAAGGGCAAGAGGCCUGCGGCUGAGGGUGCGAGCCAGACGCAAUCGCAGAGGCCGCGGAGGCAUCCCAGGAGCCGGAGCUAGUCGCGAGGACGUGGCCAGUCUACUCAGCGAGGAGGACCCGAUCGUCGCCAGGCUCCGUGCUGCGUGAUUUGUGGUGGUCUUCAUUACCUACGACAGUGUUCACGCAGUCGGGGCAGGUGCUACCUGUGUGGCCAGGAGGGCCACUUCCAGUCGGACUGUCCGAGGGGUCCAUCGCCAGCGCCAUCGUCGGCAUCUGCACCAGCUUCACCGGGUCUCAGCCAGGGGACACCUUCUGUACACCAGCAGGCUUGGCGGCCACCUGUGCAGUGGCAGUUGGAGGAGUCACGGCAGCCCCGAGCGGGCGCAUGUACGUGGCCCGGACGGAGGAGGCGGCAGCGGCUGAGAAUGUGGUUGCGGGUAUCAUUUUACUUUAUGGUAUUCGAGUACGUGCAUUAUUUGAUACCUGUGCAUGGCAUUCAUUCUUAGACCGGCUAUUUGCCGAGUUGCAUGGCAUCCCACUCGUUUCUUUGUUGCACCCGGGACGUGUAGUUGUUCCUGACCACUCCUUAAAUAUUAGAGAGAUUUAACCCAGUUGCCCUGUUCAGGUCGGAGAUUGGAUCAUACCCGCGGAUCUAUUUGCAUUGCGCAAACUAGAAGAGUUUGACGUGGUUUUGGGCAUGGAUUGGCUAAUCAAGUACUACGCCACUAUCGAUUGCAUGAAUCGAAUGGUGACGUUCAAAGAGCCGGGGCAGGCAGAGGUUGUGUAUUGAGGAUGCCGGAGUUCGCUGUUUGCGAUGACUAUUAGCUCCUCUCGAGUUAGGCAGUUGAUUAGCAGAGGCUGCAUAGCCUAUUUGGCUGCCAUUGCGUUGCAGGGCGAAGUCGACGCCCCUAGGAUUGAGGACAUCCCCGUCGUGCGGGAGUUUGGAGAUGUGUUUCCAGCAGAGCUACCAGGCAUGCCACUGGAUAGGGAGAUUGAGUUUGUGGUGGAUCUCGUCCCUAGGACUACUCUAAUCUCAAAGGCGCCCUAUAGGAUGACAUCGGCGGAAUUAAAGGAGCUGAAGGCACAGUUGCAAGAUCUUUUGGAUAAGGAUUUUGUGUGUGUCACCUUGGGGAGCACCGGUCUUGUUUGUCAGGAAGAAGGACGGGUCACUUCGCUUGUGUGUGGACUAUCAUGAACUUAAUAAAGUCACGAUCAAGAACAAGUACCCGUUACCGAGGAUCGACGAUCUGUUUGAUCAGCUUCAGGGAUCGAGUGUGUACUCUAAGAUCGACUUGCAGUCGGGGUACCACCAGUUGAAGAUUGCACCCGAUGAUGUAUCGAAGACGGCUUUUAGAACACGGUAUGGACAUUACUAGUUUACGAUUAUGCCGUUUGACCUCACUAACGCUCCGGCAGCUUUUAUGGAUUUAAUGAACCGUGUGUUUAAGCCUUAUUUAGACAGGUUCAUCGUAGUGUUCAUCGACGACAUUUUGGUCUGUCUCGAAGUGAUGCAGAUCAUGAGGAACACUUGAGACUUGUAUUUCAAGUGCUUCGGAAAAAAAACAUUUUGCCAAACUGAAGAAGUGUGAAUUUUAGCUUAGAGAGAUGGCGUUUUUGGGCCAUUUGAUUUUCGGAUCGGGUAUAGCCGUGGAUCCGAGGAAGAUUGAGGCUAUCAGGGAUUGGCUGAGGCUGACGAGUGUUACCGAGAUACGGAGUUUUAUUGGCUUUGGUCGGCUACUACCGACGGUUUGUCGAGGGAUUUGCAAAGCUAUCUACUCCCCUCACGAGGCUCAUGCAUAAAGGCACCAAGUUCAUUUGGAAUGAUGUGUGUGAGAAAAGCUUACAAGAGCUGAAGCGGAGAUUGACUACCACCCCGAUUCUAACCUUACCGAUUGCUGGAGCAUGGUAUGUGAUUUAUAGUAAUACUUCUUUUAAUGGAUUGGGCUGUGUUUUGAUGCAGGACGGGAAAGUGAUCGCGUAUGCAUCUCGCAAACUGAAGGAUUAUGAAAGGAAUUACCCUACUCACGACUUGGAGUUGGCGGCCGUGGUCUUCGCCUUGAAACUAUGGCGCCAUUAUUUGUACGGCGAGCGAUGCGAAGUAUAUCCAGAUCACAAGAACUUAAAGUAUCUAUUCACUCAAAAGGAGUUGAAUUUGAGGCAGCGCAGAUGGUUGGAGCUCCUCAAGAAUUAUGAUUUGACAAUCCUUUACCACCCGGGCAAGGUAACGUGGUGGCGGAUGCGCUAAGUAGGAAAUCGACGGAAAACUUAGCGAUGCUUGUUGCUACUCAACAGCUGUUGAUGGAGCAGAUGAAGCGGUUGGAGUUGGAGGUAGUGGCUCCUGAUACACCUUUGGGUUGAUGACUCUGCGGUGCAACCUACACUUUCGAAAAGGAUUAAAGAAAAACAAACUCACGAUGCGGAGUUGCAGAAGAUUAGAGAUAAAAUGAUUGGAGGUUGCACCGGUGAUUUCACUGAGGACGGUGAUGGAUUGAUGCAUUUUCGCGGACGGAUUUGUGUACCGACAGAAUCGGCACUUAGAGAAGAAAUUCUACAAUAAGCGCACCGAGUGCCGUAUGCUAUACAUCUAGGAGGCACCAAGAUGUAUAAGGACUUAAAGUUGCUCUAUUGGUGGCCCGGGAUGAAAAAGAAUGUUGGCGAGUUUGUUACUAGAUGUCUAACUUGCCAACAGGUUAAAGCUGAGCACCGAGUUCCCGCGGGAAAGUUGCAGAGCUUACCGAUUCCAGUGUGGAAAUGGGAGAAGAUCACCAUGGACUUCGUGACAGGAUUGCCCCGCUCACAGGCUGGGCAUGAUGCUAUUUGGGUGAUCGUGGAUAGGUUAAGGAAGUCGGCGCACUUCAUACCUAUUCAUACUAUUUGGAUCGGGGAGAAGCUCGCACAUGUGUACCCUGAUGAGAUUGUGCGACUUCACAGAGUGCCUACGUCGAUAGUAUCUGAUUGAGACACCCGGUUUGUGUCUCACUUUUGGAGAAGUCUACAAGACGCCCUAGGCACUCGACUGGAUUUCAGUACAGCUUUCCACCCUCAGAGUGACGAGCAGUCAGAGCGCACUAUACAGACUUUAGAGGAUAUAUUCCGGGCAUGUGUGAUAGACUUCCAGGGAGGAUGGUCGCAGCAUCUUCCGAUGGCAGAGUUUGCUUAUAACAACAGUUAUCAAGCAAGCAUCAAGAUGGCACCUUUCGAGACACUCUAUGGACGGAAGUGUAGAUCACCACUUCAUUGGAGUGAAGUUGGCGAGAGAUUGGCUUUAGGCCCAGAUGUGCUCCAGGAAGCUGAGGACAAGGUUCGAAUUGCUCGGGAGCGAUUUUUGAUGGCACAGAGUAGACAAAGGAGCUACGCCGAUUGACGACGGCGAGACUUGGAGUUCCAAGUUGGAGACCAUGUAUUCUUGAAGGUCUCGCCAACUAGACGGAUCAAGAGAUUUGGGAUUCGGGAAAAGUUGAGCCCCUGUUUUAUUGGACCGUAUGAGAUCUUGGAACGUAUAGGUCCGGUAGCAUAUCGACUUGCUCUACCACCGAACCUAUCGGGCGUGCACAACGUCUUUCACGUAUCGGUCCUUCGGAAGUAUGUCUUCGACCCGACUCAUGUGUUGGAUGCUACCCCGUUGGAGUUGCGGGACAAUUUGAGCUUCGAGGAGCAACCCAUGGAGAUCUUGGCUAGCAAGGUGAAGAAACUACGGAAUCGGGACAUUCCGUAUGUAAAGGUGCUUUGGAGAAACCACGGGGAACGGGAGGCCACGUGGGAGCUAGAGAGCGUGCUGCAGGAGCGCUAUCCCCAUCUUUUUCAGAUAGAGUCUUGAGGUAUGCAGUUGCUUUGAGUAUCGCGGACGAAACUCCUUUUUUAGGAGGGGUGAAUAUAACACACUGGACCGUGCAAAUUGUGAGGUCAGAGUGUAUAACACACUGGACCUUUGCAAUUUGCAAGGUUCGAGUGUUUGGACGGUGCCCUGAGUUUUUCCAGACUUUCUGGUGGGUCGUAGACAGUGUCCGACCUAAGGCUCGUGUCCCGAGAAUGGAGGUUUGAAGCUUAGCACCAAAACCCAAAAAAUCGGAUUUUUGGUUAGCUCUCGAGUAGCCUUCAUUGGGCUGUGUACCGGUACAGGGUUGAUGGCUGUACCGGUACAGGGUUGAUGGUUGUACCGGUACAGGAUCGUGUACCGGUACACAGGCAGCUUCCCAGCCAACCCGAGGCUCGGGUUUGGCUAUUUCGUGGGAUGUGUACUGGUACGUGGGCCCGUGUACCGGUACGCAGUGCAGAUUUCUGAGCAGUUCGAACUGCAGGGGUGUUUUUGCAUUGUGGCUUCUCUAUAUUACACCCACGCCCCUUGGAGUGUUCCCUAAGCUAGGGCACAGCCGGAAUAAGGUGAGGAGCCCUCUCCUUCCCCUCUCUUUUGUAUUCUUGCUUUUGGAUUAGAUUUUUUUGAGGGUUAAAUCCUUUCUUUCUCCCUCUUUUUGUUUCUUGGUGGUUUCUCCACCAUGGUUGAAGGUUGAGCUCGGGAUUGGAGCUUGUUGGAGGUGAGAUCUUGUUAUUUAGAGGACUUAGAGCUUGGAUUGAAGCUUCUAAAAGGUAAGCCACUUACUCUUUUCCUUAGAUUUGGUUUUUGUCGAUCUCUAUGAGAUGAAACCCUAGAUUGUGGAUUUAGGGUUUAUUUUUGGGGGUUUUGGACUUGGGGCUUUUUGAUCUAAAUCGAUGGGUUUUGAACUUUGGUUUAGGUUGGAUUUGAAGGGUUAUUACUCUCAUUUGGAGAUUGAGAGAGGAUUUCACCUCACAAUGUGAGUUUUGCCCCUUUUCUUGUAUUGGUUAAUGUUUAACCUAGGAGUUGUUCGUUCGGUUUGUGUGACUCUUCGUUUUGUACCCUUAGGGUCCUAGAAGAGUAGUGGAUACCUUCGUUGGAGCUUACGAAGGAUUUCGUGACGCCGUGGUGGGUUUGGCUUCUUUGAAAUGGGAGGAAAUUCCUCCUAUGUGGUUAAAUGCUUUCAUUUAUUAUAAAUUCAUGCAUAUUCAUGUUUAGUAGCAUUUAUGAGAAUUUUUGAAUGCUUAGAACUCAUAUGUUAUGCAUCAAAAAAAUUUACUCCAUAUAGUAGAGAGAUAUAUAUGCUUUGUUAAUAUGCAUGCGGUGAACAUUCUGUGAGAUGAUAUGAAAUCAAAUUUCUUGCUUCGAAUAUGACUAGAAUUACAAGUUCUUGAACUUAGUAUCCAUGUUGGGACAUAAUGAGCCAUAGUGUCAUGAAGAGGCACUUGGACUAGAAAAUUGUUAAACUGCAAUAUAGAGACUUGAUGAUAGGCCAUUUUGACAUCGACUAUAUUCCAUAUUUUAGAUAUGAUGAAAUAGUGACUUAGCCACGAUGACAUUAGCUACUUUCCAUGUAAGAGACAUGACGAUAUAGUAGCAGGCCUUUGGGGACAUGAGCUAUAUUCCGGGUUUUAGAUCUGAUGAAAUAGUAAUGACCUAUUGGGACCUGGGACACGACGGUUGAGGCAGGCCUUUGGGACAUGUGCUGUAUUCCGGGUUUUAGAUCCGACGCAACAGUGAUGGACCACUGGGACUUGAGGCAGACUUAUUCGCUUGCAUGCCACUGUGCUCUUUCGCACAUACUUGUGAGGGUCGCUCCCCAUAAGUCGACACUCCGGAGAUAGCCAUCGCGACACAAGCUCGCUCGUGCAGGAUUGGGCGCCAAAAUGAGUUGCCGUGGGGGAGGCUCAUUCCUAGGCUAGGGAUGUCGACUACCACAGGGCCAUUGUUGGCACGACGCAGGCCGGACUACCUACGGGUAGCUUCCACAGGGUUGGGUUACUAGUGACCAAUUAUACCUUUGGACAUUGACUAGAAUAGUAAACGUUGACACUUUACUGUUUAGCUUGUGGAUAUUAUGUUGGACUUACUCUCUAAAAUUAUGUCAUAGUAACUUCAUUACUUAUGCCAAGGUAUGCUAAGUAGAAUACAUGAGAUGGUUGCUUAUUACUUGUGCAAUUUCAUGCAAAGUAGAGAUCAUGUGAUAGGUUAUUACUUGUGCAAUUUCAUGCAAAAUAGAGAUCAUGUGAUAGGUUAUUACUUGUGCAAUUUCAUGCAAAGUAGAGAUCAUGUGAUAGAUGUGAUAGGUUAUUACUUGUGCAAUUUCAUGCAAAGUAGAGAUCAUGUGAUGGGUUAUUGUUUACGCUAUUUACAUACUUAUUGUAAUUAUCGUGUAUCUACUUACCCUUUUCACGCUUGGGCCUAGUGGCGCAUUUCACUGAAGUCAGUAAUUGCCCACUGGGAACUAUUAUUUAAUAGUUCUCACGCCCCCUGUUUUAUGGUUUUAUUUCAGAGCCUUCAGCACCGGUGGAGGCACGGGAUCGCGGCAAGAGGAUCGCCUAGCUAGCUAGUGGAGCCAGUUUUGCUCCUAGGUGGUCAUUCUCUCUUUUGGUUUUUGGUGAGAGAGAGUUUGUUACCAUGUAUAGAGACCACCAUUGUACUCCUCUUUGUACUUGUAUUUUGGGUUUCCUUUGUAUUAAGCUAUGUUUUAUUUUAGUAGAUUUCUAGCACUCUUUUACUAUUCCUUGUUGUAGAACCUAGUUACUUUUGCUCUGAUAUCGCUAGAGUUCUUUGUGGCAUAGUUGUAUUUAUUAAAAUUUUGGUAGACGCCUUAUAUGUUUUAGACGUAUGGCGGGUCUGGACACGUGCCGGGUAGGCUUCCGCUGAGCCCUGGGGCGUGAUAGAGUAAUUGGCUGUGUUCCGAGCUUUUUCACGCUUUGUGGAGGGUCGUAGAAGGUGUUCCAACCUAAAAAGUUCGAAUCCUGGAAUUUCUGCUAAGUCCUGAGAGUUUUACUCUCGGGGACCGGUCUCUGCGGGGAGAGACCGGUCCCUGGCGGAUGAGACCGGUCCUCGAGCGCAUUUUCGCGGGGAGAGACCGGUCCCAUGCGGGGAGAGAUCGGUUCUCGAGGGCAAGUUUUGCGGGAUGGACCUGAGAGACCGGUCCUAAGCAGGGAGAUACCGGUCCCUCUGGGCGAAAUUUGCCCAGUCCUGGCUUUGCAUAGGUUGCAAAGUUGAGGGACUUUUUUGAAUUUUGUUACACUAGAGGGCCUAUAUGGCCAUUUCACUACCCUUUCUCCCUCAUUUCACCCUCCCACUUGCUUUUAGAGAGAGAAGGAGAAGAAGAAGGAGCAGGAAGGAGAAGGAGAGCUUGUUUGAGGACUUGGAGCUUCACCCUCACCCUCUCUUCAUCCAUUUGGUGGUUUGGAGCUUGCUUUUGGAGCUUGGUGGUGGAUCAAUCUUCAAUACUAAAGGAUUUUGAGCUUGGUUUGGAGCUUCUUAGAGGUUAGUUGCUUGUUUCUCCCCUCUAUACCUAGUUUUGGUGGAUUUUGAGAGAUAAAAUCCUAGACUGGGAAACCUAGAGUUUAUUUGGAGCUUUUUGAUUAGAGACUUUUUGAGCUAAUCUAAUUAGAUUAGAAUCUUGAUUUAGGUUGCUUUGGAAGGGAUCUAGCUUCCAUUUGAGCUUUGGAAAGGGAUUUCUACACUAUAGGUGAGAUUUUGGUCCUUUUGCUUAGUAGGUUAAUGUUUGAGCUUGUAGUUGAUCGUAAGAUUCGUUUAACCUUUGUUCUUGUGCCUCUAGGGUACUAAUAGGCUAGCGGGCACAUUCGUCGGAGCUUACGAAGGGUUGCACAAGUUUCGGUGGGUUUGACCUAGCCUACAAUAUGAGAAAUGCUCAUAUUUGGUGAUUUAUGAUUCGUAAAGUGGAAAUUCAUGCAUUUUCAUACUAAAUGUAUUUAUUGUGAAUUUUAGAAUGCUUAACAUCCCUAUGUCAUGUAUAAUGAAUUUUCGGACCUCUAUGUAGUAGAGAGUUGCAUGUGAGGCUUAUACUAGCAUUUGGCAUUCUUAUGUUGGACUUGGGACCAUGUUUCUUACAAUAAAAAUGAGCAUUGUUUAGUACUCUUAAACCUAUGCAUUUUAGAGACAUGAGAGAUAGCUAAUGCCAUAAAGAGGCAUCGGACUAGACCGUUAUGGAAAAAUUUGGAGCUAAUGUCAUAAAGCGGCAUUGAGCUCGGGUUAUAUGUGAACUUAGUACUAGUGUCAUGAUUGGAAUAUAGAAUAUGAAAUGUGCUUAACUUAUAGCAAUGCUUAGCAAUUCGCGAAGGUCCAGUGUGUCACACCGUCCUUCGGGGCCACUAUCCCCGUGGUGACCUACUCCGGAGCGCACCGCUUGAGGGGGAGCUACCGCCCUCAAGCCAAGACUUAUCGUGAGUAUUGAUCCGAUUCCCAACUUGGGAACGUAUAGCCACUAGUCAUAAUGCCACUAUCAUAAUCGAUUUUCUACCUAUUUAUUCAUGCCACUUAUGGUUAAACUAUGUUUAACAAUCACUAUCUCAAUGCCAAUCUUGUCUCUAUAGUCAAUGUCACCCUUGUUUACAAAGAUCAAGGUCCAAGUCUCCUAUUCAUACAUCUCUAGGGUUCUAGCAUACAUGUCCAUUAUGGUUCUAUCAUUCUUUAUGUCCAACUACAUUAUAAGCACAUAAAUAAAGUUACACCAAAGUUCACAUGUAAGCAACCAUAAUAUGCAUGAACGACUAUAUACAAUAUGCUCAAAUGAAAAGUGACAUAGAUAUAGAAGGGAAUCCAACGAUUUCAGAAUGCACCCCCGACCACGCGUGGUCGUGUAGGUGUAGAAUGUGACGACUCCCGAACUUUAUGAAAGCCGAUUUCGCACCCUAUAACCAAAAUAGUGCUAUAUUAGGCCUUUUGUACAUGAACUAUACUCAAACAUUUUCGUAACUUCUAACGGAGUUGUCCAACGCGUUUGUUUGACCCCCAAUUAGAUUUCUACGAGGUCAAUUCGCCCUCGAAAAAUUUUAGGGCAAAAGUCCCAAAUUUGAGCCCUAACAAUGCCUUCUAGGGUUUCCUCUUAGAUUGACCUUGUUGCUAAGCAAAAGGUAGCUUAGAAUCAUCUAGGAAAUAUUCUAAUAAAGUUUCUAAGCUUUUAGAACAAUCCCUAGGGUAUCUACCAUGAGCCAUAGUGAUCCACCAUGAGAGCUCCCCAAGAAAACCAUGGAUUUCAUGGUUUCAGGUCAAUAGAGGGUUUCUAGGUUAAUUAGAGGAUCAAAACUCUAAAUCCCAAGGUUUAAAACCAAACCCUAGAGUUUUACAUACUAGAAAACUCACCUUAGCCCAAGUUCCACCAAGCUCCUCCUUGUUGGAGAGCUCCUAGACCCACUAAACCCACCAAAAAUUCACUUCCCAAGCUUCUCCUUCUUCUUCUCCAAGCUCUAGGGCUAGAUUUCUAGAGAGAGAAAGAGAGGAAAAUGAGAGAGAGAGGUGAAGAUGGCUGUGGGAGUGAAGGGCUAGGGCAUAUAUCAUGUUGUAACAUUUGCAACUAGGCCCUCCCAACUUCAAAAUUCUGUGUCAGCCCUUACUGGGCAAUUUUCGCAGUCGGGGACCAGUCUCCGCGACCAGGGACCGGUUCCCGAACGUUUGAUUUCAAGGACUUAGCCGAUUUUUGGGUUUUCUGGCUGGUUGCACAGCGAGGGGCCGGUCUGUCCUUCAGGGACCAGUUCCUCAUGGACCGGUCUCACUGCCAGGGACCGGUUGCCUCAAGGUUCCUGGCAGGCUACCCGUAUGGGGACCGGUCUCUCCUUCAGGGACCGGUCCCCGAGAGCACAAAAUCUGGGACUUAGCCAGAUUUUGGAAUUUCACUCUCUCGGGUCCCUAUAUAACACAUAUAUAGGCUCUAAUGCACUUAGGGCCUAUACAUACUCGUCCCACUCCGCGUUCCUGUAGUAUACUGAACUUUAGCAAAUUGCGAAGUUCGAGUAUGGGGAUGACAUUUAGAAUUACCCUACAUGUUCUAAAAGGUUUAGAGAUGUUUGUGGACGAGUUGGAGAGUCAUCGAACCCUCGGAAGUGAGAAAGUGCUUUGAAAUUGCGAAUUGUGCAUUUUUGCAUUGGUGUACCGGUACAACCCUCAGGCUGUACCGAUACAGAAAGCAGCAGAGGCAGCAGGUGCGUGGCAGUUUGGCUAUUUUGGUCUUUUUGCUGCUUGACCUUAUCUCUACAGGCCAGCUCGACCUCCAGCAGCUGGUUAGGGAUAUUUGAGCUUAGAGAUAAGGAUUUACACCUAUUUUUCACUUUCUCUCUCUAAAUUCUUCUAUUGAAGUGAUAAACUAGUACCUUAGACCUAGUUUCAUUUUCCCUUUUGAUGUUAGCAAGCUGGGAGGGCUUUGGACCUGUGGUAGAGGGAAGGAAAAGGUGUUCUGGAGAAUGCUUUGCAGCCUGAGCACAACCGUGACUGGUUUGAUACAUCAGAAAGGUGAGCUAAUUAACUCUUCAUUGGAUUAAGGCUCUAAGAGGAAAGUUGAGCUUGAUUGUGGAACUUUUUGUUCUCAGCUGGUUGAGGAAGGAAAUUGGUAGUUGUAGCAGGGUAUUUAUGAUACCCUUAAUCAGUUGGAGCUAAGCUAUUAACCUUAGAAGGUAAUUAUCCAAUUCCUUUCUUGUUUGGACAAGUUAGUAGGGUUACUAAUGCAGUUUUGGAAGCUGUUUAGCAGCAGAGUUGCCGCAGGAACCUUAACUCCUGCACUUGAAUUUUGAGGGUUCUUGUAAUACACUGACUCUAGCAAAUUGCGGAGUCCGAGUGUGUGGAAUGAGUUGUGGAACUAUCCUACAUGUUCUAAAUGACUUGGACAAGUUUUUGAACAAGUUUGAGAGUGAUUGGAGGGUUAAAUGUGAGAAAUUGCAUCAACUGGCGAAAAUCAGCCUUUUUCUGCUUGCUGUACCGGUACAGCCAUCACCUUGUACCGGUACANAUGGCAGAGUUUGCUUAUAACAGCAGUUAUCAAGCAAGCAUCAAGAUUGCACCGUUCGAGGCACUCUAUGGACGCAAGUGUUGAUCGCCACUUCAUUGGAGUGAAGUUGGCGAGAGAUUGGCUUUAGGUCCUGAUGUGCUCCAUGAAGCUGAGGACAAGGUUCGCAUCGCUCGGGAGCGGUUAUUGACGGCCCAGAGUAGGCAGAGGAGUUAUGCUGACAGGCGGCGACGAGACUUGGAGUUUCAGGUUGGAGAUCACGUCUUCUUGAAAGUCUCGCUGACUCGAGGAAUUAGACGAUUUGGAAUCCGGGGCAAGUUGAGCCGCCGAUUCAUUGGACCGUUUGAGGUUUUGGAGCGGAUAGGCCCGGUAGCGUAUAGACUUACCCUACCGCCGAACCUAUCGGGUGUGCACAAUGUAUUCCAUGUAUCGGUCCUUCGGAAGUACAUCCACGACCCGGCUAAUGUAUUGGAUGCUACACCUAUGGAGCUGCAGGAGGAUUUGAGCUUUGAGGAGCAACCCUUGAGAAUUUUGGCUCGCGAGGUGAAAAGAUUGCGGAACCGGAAAAUUCCCUACGUGAAGGUGCUUUGGAGCAACCACGACGAGCGCGAGGCCACUUGGGAGUUAGAGAGCGCACUGCGGGAGCGCUAUCCCCAUCUUUUUCAGAUGGAGGCUUGAGGUACUUUGUUUGUUUUGAGUUUCGCGGACGAAACUCCUUUUUAGGAGGGGUGAAUGUAACACACUGGACCUUUGCAAAUUGCGAGGUUCAAGUGUUUGGCUGUGUUCUGAGUUUUUCCAAACUUUCUGGUGGGUCGUUGACUAUGUUCCGACCUAUGGCACGUGUCCUGAGACUUGUGGUACAAAGCCUUGCACCAAAACCCGAAAAAACGGAAUUUAGCUGACUCUCGGAUUGAGUUCUGGCAAGCUUGUACCGGUACAAGGCUGUGCUUGUACCGGUACAAGGUUGAUGGUUGUAUCGGUACAGCCAUCGGAGCUUGUACCGAUACAGAGCCGCAGAACCCAGCAACCCGAGCCUCGGGUUUGGAUUUCGUGGACCUUGUACCGGUACAAGGGCCCGUGUACCGGUACAAGGCGGCAGAUUUUGUGCAGUUCGAAACUGCAAGGGCUUUUUCGCGAUUGUAGCCUCUCUAUAACAGCACCCUCGCCCCUUAAGGCUUUUCUUGUGCUGGAACCACAGGGAAACAAGGUAAGGAGCCCAUCCAUUCCCUCAUUUUGAUUUUCCUUGGUUAUAUUGGAGAUUUUUGAGGAUUAAUGCCUCAUUUUGCUUCUUGUUGCAUUUUGGAGGCUUUUUCCCACCAUUGGAGAGGACUUGGAGCUUUGUUGGAGGCUUGUUGGAGGAAAGAUCUUCCACCCUAUUUGAUUUGGAGCCCAAGUUGAGACUUCUAGAGAGGUUAACAACAUGAUUUGAGCUUUUGAUCCAUGUUUUGCUAAGUUUUUGAGAUGAAAUCCUAGAUUUGAUACUUAGGGCUUAUUUUGGGUAUUUUGAUUCUAGGGCUUUUGGGGCUAAAUUAGUUGGUUUAGAACCUUCCUUGGGCUUGGAUUGGAAGGGCUUUAGCUCUCUUUUGGAGCUUAGGAGAGGAUUUCUACUCUUGAGGUGAGUUUUGGCCCUUUUUGCUUCUAGGUUAAUGUUUGAUAUUUUAAGAUGAUCGUAAUGCCCGUGUAUCUUGUCGCUCAAUACUUUUAGGGUAUUUUGAGACUCGGGGACAACUUUGUUCGGCGAAACGAGGCCCUACGCGACGGUUCCGUAGGUUUGACCUAGGCUACCUAUGAGAAAUCCUCAUAUAUGGUUAUAAAUGUUCCGUAAAUUGGAAAAGCAUGCAUAUUCAUCCUAAUUGUAUUUAUUAUGAUUUUUAGAAUGCUUAAAAUGCAUAUGUUAUAUAUGAUGAAAUUUUGGACUUCUAUGUAGUAGAGAGUUGCUUGGGAGAUCUUUGGUUGCAUUUAGCAUUCGUUAUGAGACUUGGUUUCAUGCUUCUAUAGUAUAAAUGAGUUCGGAUUCAUGCGUUCAAACUUGAGUUUACUUGUGACAUGAAAGAUGACAAGAUUGCUAAUUAGAAGGUAUGUGAACUAGAGAGCUAAUGUCAUCAAGCGGCAUUGAGCUCGGGACAUGUGAGAACCUAGUGGAUAGGGCCAUCGAGGAACAUGCUUAAACAUUAAAUGUCUAAGUGUCAUAAAGGGGCACUAGACCUAGAGAAUGUUGGAACUUCAUUUGUGACUUAGAACUAGAUCUUCGAGAUGCUAGUGACUAUACCAUGUUAGAGACAUGAGGGUUGGAUACUUGAGNNNNNNNNNNNNNNNNNNNNNNNNNNNNNNNNNNNNNNNNNNNNNNNNNNNNNNNNNNNNNNNNNNNNNNNNNNNNNNNNNNNNNNNNNNNNNNNNNNNNNNNNNNNNNNNNNNNNNNNNNNNNNNNNNNNNNNNNNNNNNNNNNNNNNNNNNNNNNNNNNNNNNNNNNNNNNNNNNNNNNNNNNNNNNNNNNNNNNNNNNNNNNNNNNNNNNNNNNNNNNNNNNNNNNNNNNNNNNNNNNNNNNNNNNNNNNNNNNNNNNNNNNNNNNNNNNNNNNNNNNNNNNNNNNNNNNNNNNNNNNNNNNNNNNNNNNNNNNNNNNNNNNNNNNNNNNNNNNNNNNNNNNNNNNNNNNNNNNNNNNNNNNNNNNNNNNNNNNNNNNNNNNNNNNNNNNNNNNNNNNNNNNNNNNNNNNNNNNNNNNNNNNNNNNNNNNNNNNNNNNNNNNNNNNNNNNNNNNNNNNNNNNNNNNNNNNNNNNNNNNNNNNNNNNNNNNNNNNNNNNNNNNNNNNNNNNNNNNNNNNNNNNNNNNNNNNNNNNNNNNNNNNNNNNNNNNNNNNNNNNNNNNNNNNNNNNNNNNNNNNNNNNNNNNNNNNNNNNNNNNNNNNNNNNNNNNNNNNNNNNNNNNNNNNNNNNNNNNNNNNNNNNNNNNNNNNNNNNNNNNNNNNNNNNNNNNNNNNNNNNNNNNNNNNNNNNNNNNNNNNNNNNNNNNNNNNNNNNNNNNNNNNNNNNNNNNNNNNNNNNNNNNNNNNNNNNNNNNNNNNNNNNNNNNNNNNNNNNNNNNNNNNNNNNNNNNNNNNNNNNNNNNNNNNNNNNNNNNNNNNNNNNNNNNNNNNNNNNNNNNNNNNNNNNNNNNNNNNNNNNNNNNNNNNNNNNNNNNNNNNNNNNNNNNNNNNNNNNNNNNNNNNNNNNNNNNNNNNNNNNNNNNNNNNNNNNNNNNNNNNNNNNNNNNNNNNNNNNNNNNNNNNNNNNNNNNNNNNNNNNNNNNNNNNNNNNNNNNNNNNNNNNNNNNNNNNNNNNNNNNNNNNNNNNNNNNNNNNNNNNNNNNNNNNNNNNNNNNNNNNNNNNNNNNNNNNNNNNNNNNNNNNNNNNNNNNNNNNNNNNNNNNNNNNNNNNNNNNNNNNNNNNNNNNNNNNNNNNNNNNNNNNNNNNNNNNNNNNNNNNNNNNNNNNNNNNNNNNNNNNNNNNNNNNNNNNNNNNNNNNNNNNNNNNNNNNNNNNNNNNNNNNNNNNNNNNNNNNNNNNNNNNNNNNNNNNNNNNNNNNNNNNNNNNNNNNNNNNNNNNNNNNNNNNNNNNNNNNNNNNNNNNNNNNNNNNNNNNNNNNNNNNNNNNNNNNNNNNNNNNNNNNNNNNNNNNNNNNNNNNNNNNNNNNNNNNNNNNNNNNNNNNNNNNNNNNNNNNNNNNNNNNNNNNNNNNNNNNNNNNNNNNNNNNNNNNNNNNNNNNNNNNNNNNNNNNNNNNNNNNNNNNNNNNNNNNNNNNNNNNNNNNNNNNNNNNNNNNNNNNNNNNNNNNNNNNNNNNNNNNNNNNNNNNNNNNNNNNNNNNNNNNNNNNNNNNNNNNNNNNNNNNNNNNNNNNNNNNNNNNNNNNNNNNNNNNNNNNNNNNNNNNNNNNNNNNNNNNNNNNNNNNNNNNNNNNNNNNNNNNNNNNNNNNNNNNNNNNNNNNNNNNNNNNNNNNNNNNNNNNNNNNNNNNNNNNNNNNNNNNNNNNGCACCGGCGGAGGCACGGGAUCGCGGCAAGGGGAUCGCUUAGCUAGCUAGCGAGGAGCGGUUCUUUGCCUAGGUGGUUUGCUCUUUCUUUUUGUAGUUGGGAGAGUAAGAGAUUUCUGUAUACAUGUAUAGAGACCACCUAUAUACCUACUUUUAGCACUUGCAAUUGGGAUUUCCUAUUGUAUUUACUUUAUGCCUUAUUUAGUGGAUUUACAGUUUAUCCUUAUCCUUGGUUGUAGCAUUUAGACAUUUAUUAUGCUCUGAUACUUCUAGAUGUCUUUUAUUAUUGCUUUCAUUAUUGUUGUUUUAGACGCCUUAUACGUUUUAGACGUAUGGCGGGUCUGGGCACGUGUCGGGCAGGCUUCCGCUGGGUCCCGGGGCGUGACAGUCGCAUUGCGCGCAGCAGCUCUGGCUGCGCUGGGAGAGCUCUCGGAGACUGGUCCCUAGUCGGGGAGACCGGUCCCCGAGCCCGAAAUCUGCCCAGUCCAGGCAGUUGAAUAAGAUGAAAGUUGAGGGGUUUAUUUGCAUUUUGGCAACCCAAUAGUUAUGUAUUGGGGCCUAAUGAGAUUUUCUCUCAUUUUUACCCUCUCAUCCCCUCUCAUCUCUCUUUCUCUCUCUAGAAGGCAAAGAAGGAGAAGAAGAAGAGAAGGAAAAGAAGGAAAAGAAGAGGAAGAAAAUAGAGAAGAAGAAUAGGAAGUGAAGAAACUCCCUCUCCCUCAUCUCUAGCUUGGAAAGAGAAAGCUUACAAGGUAAGCUUUGAACCCUAAUCAUGCUAAAACCCUAAACUGGGGGCUAUGUGACCUAGAAAUGGUUUUUAUAGAGCAUUUUGAGUUUUUGAAACUUUUCUUUUGCUUCUUUAGAGGUCAAAACCAUGAAAUGGGGGUAAUGGGUAAAGCUUGAAGGUGAGCUUGACCCCUCUCAUGGUAGAAUCCAAACUAUGGUUUGGAUUGAAUUAAAGAUGGUUUAGAUGGACUAUUUAGAGUAUAAUGAAGCUACUUUUGCUUCCCAAUGAGAUCAAACCCUAGGUUUGAUGUAUGCUAUGGAGCUAGAGCACCCAAAUUGGAGCUUUUGCUCAUGAGGGUUCCUAAGUGAAAUUGACCCUCUAAAAACCUAAUUGGGGGUAUUUCCGACUUGUUGAUGCGCUCGGAAUAGCAUUACGAAAAGUGUAUGUAAAGUUAUGGCCAAAUAAGCCUAAUUUGGCUUCGUUAUACCGCAGGUAGUGAACCGGGUAUCUAAAAAUCCCAAGAAAAUCGUCGGAGCACCUUUGGAAGCCUACGAGGUGGGUGGUGCUUCUCAAACUCCUUGAACUUCUCUCUAUGCCUAAUGUGUCAUUCAUUUGAGCAUAUGUAUAUACAUNUUCGAGACAGAUAUUGUACUACUUAUGACUCCUUUUAUUGUCUAGCUUUACUUCUUUACUUUGGUGUAGAUGUUAGAACUAUACUCGCUCUGAUAUCAUUAGUUGCUAGUUAUUUCACUUCUGCUAUUUGUCCUACUACUUGCUUUUACUUCCGCUUUUAGUAUAGACGCCUUAUAUGUGUAGACAUAUGGCGGGUCUGGGCACGCUACCAGGAGGGCCUCCGCCGGUCCCGGGGCGUGACACCGGGUAUGCUUCCACCGAUACCCGGGCGUGACAGAUUAUAGUGGUAUCAGAGCCUAGAGUUAAGUCUUAUUGGACCUAGCGAACCUUAGGCUGGUUGGACUAUAAGAAUAGGCUCGUGAGAGACGAGGUCUAGUUUAGUUUUUAGCGAAAGUACUUUGAUUGGGUAAUUUAUAAACUCCGAAUGGUAGGAGUUGAUUGAAAUAUGCAAUUUCUAACUUUGCGGAGAGCCACGUUGGCGGCCGACAAUGUGACAUCGGAAGUUAGUAUGUUUUACAUUUCAUUACUUUCGCUUGAUUGGGUGGUUAAUAUAAUGAGUAGGGGUUCAAUAGUGUAAGUUCUAUUAAUUUAUGUUUAUUUUUGCUGCAGCUUAAGAUGCCUACUACUCGUUCUAUGGCUACUGGAGCAGCCAAGGCAGCUGAUGCAGAGGAAGUGGAGACCUCCGUUACUUCCGGAUCUAGUGAGGUCCGUGAGUUGCAGGAUCAGCUUGCAGUAUUGACGGAUCUAGUGACACAGCAGGCUGCAGCAGCUCGACAACAGAUGGAUGCCGCGCGCCGACAGGAGGAAAGAAUGAAGAGGUUAGAGGAUUUGCUACUGCGACAGACAACUGAUAGAGAGGGCCCGAGUUCGGUGCCAACAGUACCUGAGAGGGACACGAUUGCGAGGGUACAGUCACCAGCACCAGAUACUUCACCGGCAGCCCCGCGCGCUGAGCACCAACCGGGGACCGUAGUACCACCCCUAGUGCCUGUGGCUGCGACAGGGACAGUGUUACCAGAGAUGGUAGGGGCUGAGGAGUAAGAGCAGAUGAUGGAGCGAUUGAAUGAAUUUCGCCGUUGCAAUCCUCGUGUAUUCGACGGCGAAAAAGGUGAUCAUUGGGUAGUUGAGAAGUGGCUAAUGCACAUGGAAAAGUUAUUUUACGAUACCUUUGUAGAGGAGCGAGACCGAGUCUGGUUUGCGACACACCAUAUGGAUGGCGAGGCCUAUAGGUGGUGGUUAGACAUUCGUGAGGAUCCCUGUACUGAUCUAUCUGCGAUCACUUGAAGAGAUUUAAGGAAUUAUUGUUGACAACCUACUUCCCGCAAAGUGUAAAGAGACAAAUGGAGAGGGAUCUGAGAAAUUUGAGGCAGGAGGAUAGGACAGUGGUUGAGUAUGAGCGAGAGUUUUCUCGACUACUAUAUUGUGUUCCUUUCGUGGUCAAGGAUGACGAGGAUAAGGCCCGUAUCUUUGAGGUGGGUUUGCGACCUGCGAUUUUCAGGUUGGUCCAGGCGUCAAACCUAUCGACUUACAAGGAGGUAGUAAAUCGGGCACUGAUUGUUGAGAAGGGGGCAGAGAUUGUGAAGGAAAGGAAAAUUGUGGAUCGAAAUAAAGGAAAGAGGCCAGGGGUGGAGAGUCGUGGUCAGCAAUCGUUCAGGGGACCGCCAAAGUAUCCGAGAGGCCAGCCAAGUCAGUCGAGGGGACGAGGUUCUUUUGCACCCCGUAGAGCACCUAAGCGUCAUCGACAGUCGCGUUGUGUGAUUUGUAGUGGUCCUCAUUUUCCACCGCAAUGCCCACAACAUGGGGGCAAGUGCUUUCUUUGUGGUCAGGAGGGCCACUUUCGGUCUGAGUGCCCGAGGGCUUCGUCACACGCACCAUCGUCAGCAUCAGCACCUGCAUCUUCAGCUCCGAGUCAGGGGACUCCGUCAGCACAGUACCAAUCGAGACGACCACCCGAACAGCGGCAGUCAGAGAGUUCUCGACAGGGUUCAAGUGGGCAUAUGUAUGCCGCCCAGACUGAGGAGGCCGCGGCAGCAGAAGAGGUUGUAGCAAGUGUUAUUUUGAUUCGUGAUGUUCAUGUUCGUGCAUUAUUCGAUACUGGCGCAUCGCAUUCUUUUAUCGAUCGGCUAUUUGCCGAGUUGCAUAGCAUUUAGUUAGUACCUACUUUGCAUCCGAGACGAGUAAUCAUGCCCGACCAUACCCUGGAUAUUCAUGAGUAUUGCCCUCGCUGCCCAGUUCGGGUAGGUGAUUGGAUUAUGCCAGUGAACUUAUUAGCACUACACAAACUAGGUGAGUUUGAUGUAGUUUUAGGUAUGGACUGGUUGACACAAUACUAUGCUAUUAUAGAUUGCACAAAUCGAACGUUGACCUUUAAGGAACCAUGUCAGCAGGAAGUGGUGUACAGGGGAUGCCAGAGUUCAUUGUUCGCAAUGACAAUUAGUUCUUCGCGAGCACGACAAUUGAUACGGAGGGGUUGCGUGGCCUAUUUGGCUAAUAUCUCUGUCAGUAACGGAGGAGUUACUAGUAUUGAUGAUAUCUCGGUAGUACGGGAAUUUCGUGAUGUGUUUCCAGCUGAAUUACCUGGAAUGCCGCCUAAUAGGGAAGUUGAGUUUGUGAUAGAUCUUGUUCCUGGGACUGCCCCAAUCUCAAAAGCACCCUAUAGGAUGGCACCUGUUGAGUUGAAAGAGCUGAAGGCACAGUUACAGGAUCUUUUGGAUAAAGGUUUUAUUCGACUGAGUGUAUCACCCUGGGGAGCACCGGUGUUAUUCGUUAAGAAGAAAGAUGGAUCCUUUCAAUUGUGCAUGGAUUAUCGGGAAAUUAACAAAGUCACAACCAAGAAUAAGUAUCUACUACCACGAAUUGACGAUUUAUUUGACCAGCUCCAAGGAUCGCAAGUGUACUCCAAGAUUGAUUUACAAUUUGGAUAUCAUCAGUUGAAGAUCAAGCCCAAAGAUGUAUCUAAGACUGCUUUCAGAACAUGGUAUGGUCAUUAUGAAUUCACAGUUAUGCCAUUUGGAUUGACUAAUGCCCCGGCAGCUUUUAUGAAUUUAAUGAAAUGUGUUUUAAGCCCUAUUUGGACAAGUUUGUGGUCGUAUUCAUCGACGAUAUCUUGAUCUAUUCCCAAAGUGACGAGGAGCAUGAAAACCAUUUAAGACUGGUGUUGCAAAUACUUCGAGAAAAGAAACUAUUUGCAAUGUUAACAAAAAAAAAAAGCAAAUUUUGGCUUCGAGAAGUAGCAUUUCUGGGACAUGUAAUUUCAGAAGUCGGGAUAGCUGUGGAUCCAAAGAAGAUUGAAGCAAUUAAGAAUUGGCCUAGGCCGACCAGCAUUACAGAGAUUCGGAGUUACCUUGGUUUGACAGGAUACUACCGAAAGUUUGUAGAAGGAUUUGCGAAGAUGUCAACUCGUCUCACUCGACUCACACAUAAAGGGGCGAAGUUUAUAUGGAAUGAGGUCUGUGAAAUUCGACCUCUUAGAAAUGUUAAUGUGAUAGAAUUACGUAGGAUUUGAAGUGGAGUGCUCCUAGCUAAUCAUGUAUUGAUUACUAGGGCUUUCGGAGAAUUGUGAAGAUCCAUACCCAUAGGUCGAACGUGAAUCGUCGGUUAAUAGGUGGGUUUGACCUCACCAGAGUAAGUGAAUUCCCCUAUGUUCUAUAUGUUACUAUAGGACUAUUAAUUAUAUGCAAUUGAAUUACUUUGGCGGUUUUAUUUGAAGGCAUUGACAAUCAACUCAACUUAAUAUUUAACAGUGAGUGAUUUUGUUAUGUUUUAAUAAAGUAGAGAACAAAUUAUUCGAUUGUGACCUGACCAGUGUUGUAUUAUUAAAAGACAAGUUUACCUUGCGAAUAACACAUGUAAAUUAGCAUCUUUAUUAUGUGGUUAUUGAUCUAGUGGAUACUAGCAUUUCUUAUUGUACAGAGAAUCCGACCUAUUGGCCGAGAGUAAAAAACUUACAUACUUGAUAUAUGAUGAUUGAAGCGGUUGGACUAUGAUUUAUGCUUGCUUGCCAUUGUGCUCAUUCGCACAAGCUUGUGAGGGUCGCGCCUUACAAGCCAACACUCCGGAGUUGGCCUACGCGACAGACUGCUUGCCCAUGCGGGAUUGGGUGCCGAAGUCGAUUGCCGUGGGGAGUGCAUACUACCACGGGGCCAUUAGGCGCGGCGCAAGCUGGACUACCUGGUGUAGGUCCUUAUGAAUUGAACCAAGUUACUAAAAGAUAGUAAUAAAUAAUUACUAUUAUACAGUGUACAGCUACCUUUAAUACGACAUGUUCAAGCUUUAAGUAAUUACUUUACUUGUUUCUACUUGUUUGACAUAGUUGAUAGCAUCAUACAUGUUCAUCGUUAUUUGUUGUUGAAUUAUCUCGCACACAAUAAAUGUUUUUACAUUUAUAAUAGUACAUCAUGAGCCUAGUGGUGUAACUCGCCAAGGCUGGCGGCUUACCCACUGGGAACUAUUGUUUAAUAGUUCUCACGCCCUUUUUAUUAUUGUUUUUACAGAGCCACCUACUACAGGAGAGGCUAGGGAUCGUGGCAAGGGAGUCGCGUCUAGCUAGAUAUAGCUUGGAGCUUGACUAGAUGAUCAUCUUGCUACUCGGGCUACGACCGAGGGUUAUGUACCCGUGUACAGAAAAACUACCAUUGUACAUAUAUUUUGAGUGACCUUGUGAUGUAUUUACGGUUUGUACCUGGGAUGACAGUUUUGGUGUUUCUCUGUGGAAUAGAAGAAUUCGGGACUGUACAGACUUGCACUUUCUUCUGAUAGUGGUAUUAUUGAUUUGUACUUUGCUCUGAUCAUCUUCACUUGUUUAAUAUGAUUUUAUAAACGUCUUAUAUACUACAGGUAUAUGACGGGUCUAUACAUGUACCAGGUAUGCUUCCGCUGAUACCCGGACGUGACAGUUCCGCUCAUUCCGACGGAACUCGGCACGAUUUACGCGGAAUGUGGUAUGUUACAUUCUCCACCCCCUAAAUUUAGUUUCGUCCGCGAAACUACUUAUCUACUAAUCGAGAUUCACCUCAACGCAGUUCCUCGAAGAGAUCAGGGUAACGCUCCUUCAUCACGUCCUCAAGCUCCCAAGUCUCUUCUCGGUCGCCGUGCUCGCACCAAUGAAUUUUAACAUACGGGAUUUCGCGGUUCCGUAGUUUCCUCACUUCUCGAUCGACGAUAUAAGCCAGGGACUCCUCAUAAGUCAUGUCCUCUUGAAGCUCCAUCGGUACAUAUGCGAGAACAUGCUCGGGGUCGUAAACAUACUUGCGGAGUUGAGAUACAUAGAAUACAUCGUGCACUCCCGCAAGCCUCGGUGGUAAUGCUAACUUAUAAGCCAUCGCGCCAAUCCGUUCUAGAAUCUCAAAGGAUCCGAUAUAGCGGGGACUUAGCUUCCCUCGAACACAGAAUCGCUUGACUCCUCGCAUAGGCGUCACCUUUAGAAAUACGCGGUCUCCAACAGUGAACUCGAUAUCUUUCCUUCGCUUGUUGGCAUAACUUUUGUGCCUCGAUUGCGCCGUUGCUAACCUUUGUCGGGCAAGGCGAACUUUCUCCUCCGCCUCACGCACAACAUCUGGGCCAAGAACAGUCCUCUCGCCCACAUUGCUCCAAUGAAUCAGCGAGCGACACUUUCUUCCAUAGAGGGCCUCGAAUGACGCCAUCGCAAUACUUUCUUGAUAGCUAUUGUUGUAUGCGAAUUCCGCCAUUGGUGAAUGAUCGUGCUAUUCGCCCUUAUAGUCAAGUACACACGCCCGAAGCAUAUCCUCAAGUAUUUGAAUAGUUCUCUCUGAUUGACAGUCACUUUGAGGAUGAAAUGCCGUGCUAAAGUCGAGCCGUGUGCCUAACACGUCUUGCAAGCUCCUUCAAAAAUGAGAUGUAAACCGCGGAUCCCGAUCCGACACAAUGGAUACCAGUACCCCGUGUAAUCUCACCACCUCGUCAAUAUAAACUUGAGCGAGCUUGUCUCCCGUCCAGGUAGUGUGGAUCGGCAAAAAGUGUACCGAUUUUGUCAACCGGUCCACAACUACCCAAAUCGCGUCAUGUCCACCUUGUGAUCUAGGCAAACCUGUCACAAAGUCCAUUGCGAUGUUUUUCCACUUCCACAAGAGUAUAGGUAGACUUUGCAACUUCCCCGCCGGAAAUCGACAUUCUGCCUUAACUAGUUGGCACGUGAGACAUUGCGCCACAAACUCUCCUAUAUCUUUCUUCAUGCCCGGCUAUCAAUAAUGUAGCUUCAAAUCUCGAUACAUUUUAGUGCCGCCCGGGUGAAUACUAUAAGGAGAUUGAUGAGCUUCUUGCAUAACCACCCUUCUAAGUUCGUCGUUCUUGGGCACACACCAACGGUUUCGAAAUAGUAGUGUGCCAUCGGUUCCAAUGCUAAACUCAUUAGUAUUACCAUUCUCAACUUUGCUCCACACUUUUUGGAGAAAUUCAUCAGACGCUUGCAAUUCUUUAAUCUUCUCCAAUAAGGUUGGUUGCACUAUCAAUGUGGCUAACGUUGCCGGCACACCCGGCGCCACAACCUCAAGACCAAACCGAUGCAUUUCUUUUUGCAAAGCCGAUUGAGGUGUAUCGGCCGUCGCCAAAUUUUUCGCCGACUUUCUACUUAAAGCAUCGGCUACGACAUUUGCCUUCCCGGGGUGGUCUAGGAUAGUGACGUCAUAGUCUUUAAGCAACUCCAACCAUCGCCGCUGUCGCAAAUUCAGUUCCUUCUGGGUGAACAGGUAUUUGAGACUCUUAUGAUCGGUGUAGAUCUCGCAAUGCUCACCAUACAAGUAAUGCCUCCACAAUUUUAGCGCGAAGACAACCGCCGCUAGCUCAAGAUCGUGGGUCGGGUAGUUCUUUUCAUAUGUCUUCAACUAGCGUGAAGCAUAUGCUAUAACUCGGCCCUUUUGCAUCAAGACACACACGAGACCAAUGUACGAAGCAUCACUAUAUACGACAUAACUCUCCCCCAGUGUCGGCAAGGCAAGCACCAGAGUAGAUGUCAACCUAUUCUUUAGCUCCUCAAAGCUUAGCUCACACUCGGGGCUCCAAACAUACUUCACCCCUUUGUGCGUAAGGCGUGUUAGUGGAGUUGUUAUCCUAGCAAACCCUUCCACGAACCGCCGGUAGUAGCCCGCAAGUCCAAGGAAGCUAUGAAUUUCCACCACACUUGUCGGGCGAGGCCAAUCUUUAAUCGCCUCAACUUUCUUUGGGUCCACCGAGAUGCCUUCACUGGAUAUAACGUGACCCAAGAAGGUAAUCUCCGAAAGCCAAAACUCACACUUCUUGAGUUUUGCAUACAGCUUUUCCUUCCGGAGUAUAUCCAACACAAGCCUUAAAUGCUCAUCGUGUUCUUCCUUCGUCCGAGAAUAUACCAAUACGUCGUCAAUGAAAACCACGACGUACCAGUCCAAUAGCGGACGGAAGACUCGAUUCAUCAAGUCCAUAAAGGCUGCCGGGGCAUUGGUAAGCCCAAACGACAUCACCAUGAACUCAUAGUGGCCAUAUCGCGUACGGUACGCUGUUUUGUGCACAUCCUUGGGCCGUAUCUUCAAUUGAUGAUACCCCGACUGAAGAUCAUUCUUAGAAUAUACCCUUGACCCUUGCAACUGAUCGAAUAGAUCGUCAAUCCUUGACAAUGGGUAUUUAUUCUUAAUCGUCACCUUGUUCAACUCACGAUAAUCAACGCAAAGUCAAAGAGUGCCGUCUUUCUUCUUCACAAAUAGCACCGGAGCUCCCCACGGAGACACACUCGGCCGCACGAAGCCUUUAUCGAGCAAGUCUUAUAACUGGGCUUUUAGCUCCUUUAACUCUACCGAUGCCAUUCUAUACGGAGCCUUCGAAACCGGCGCCGCCCCAGGAAUCAAGUCAAUGACAAAUUCGACUUCCCGGUCCGGUGGCAAUCCCGGUAACUCCACCGGAAAUACAUCCGGAUACUCGCAUACCACCCGAGUACUUUCCAACUCCGGGUGCUCCUUUUGAGGGUCCACGAUAGUCGCCAAGUAGGCCUUGCAACCACCCUUAAUCAUUUUCUUUGCCCUCACCAAUGAUAUGGUCGCCGCAAAAUGCGCACCAUUACACGCCUUAUAAACCAUCUCCUCUUGGUUAGGCUCACGGAAAGUGAUCACCUUCCUUUUGCAAUUGAUAACCGCGUAAUACUUGGAGAGCCAGUUGGUAACCAAGAUUACGUCAAACCCCACAGAUGCUUCAACACUAAUAGGUUGAUCGACAUGACCCAAUCGCCUAUCUGCACUGGGCAGUCCAAAUACUCGUCAUGCACAUGAAACGUAAGUCCAGGUGCUGUCACCGUCCAAUAAUCCUCAUAAUGCGUGACCUCUAUGUCAUGAGCUAGUGCAAAUGAUGCUGUUAUGAAUGAUUGAGNCUCCAACCCUAGCUUGAGGAGCUUAAUGAUUGAGCUAUUUGCUCUUCGUUUCGUUUGGGUGACCCUAUUUUUGAUGUUUCUAGGGUACCAGGGAGCUUGUGGAUACCUUCGUUCGGCGAAACGAAGAAGUUGAUUUUGGUGGGUUUGACUUCAUGAAAAUGGGGCAAAAUGGCUCCUAUGCCUUCUAACCCUUUUGUAAAGUAUUUUUGAAUGCAAAUUUAUGCUAAACAUGAUUUAUAUGAAUUUUAGAACACUUAACAUGCAUGCCUCAGGUAUCGUAAAAUUUGUACUCCAUAUAGUAGAGCUAUAUGUGUAGAUUGCAUGCAUUGUGGAUAGUGCUUGGUUUCGCAAGUUGAGAACAUGUCUCCAUGCUAGAAUUGAGUGAACUAUGCAUCAUGAACAUAUUAAUGCCAUGCUUGGGACUCGUUGAACAAAAGUGUCAUAAAGGGGCACUUAGGAUUAGUAAACUAUGAAACUGCAACAUAGAGACAUAUCGAUAGGCCACUAUUUAUCCGCUACAUUCCAUGUUAGAGACAUGAUGACAUAGGGAUAGGUCAUUGGGAUACUUGACACAUUCCAUGCUAUUAGACAUGAGGAUUUGAUACUUGCGAUAGAUCGUUUGACUACUUGCCAUUGUGCUUAUUCGCACAUGCUUGUGAGGGUCGCUCCCUACAAGCCGGCACUCCGGAGAUAGCCAUCGCGAUUCGUAUUCACCGUGCGGGAUUGGGCGCCGAAAUGGAUCGCCGUGGGACAGGCUCAUUUCUAGGGUGGGAAUGAUGACUACCACGGGGCCAUUAGGCUCGGCACUGGCCAGACAGCCUACGGGUGGGUCUCAGGGCCAUAGACAGCCUUCGGGUGGGUCUCUUCAGAUUUGACUUUGAGUAUUCAUUAUGACAUGUGGACAGAUGAUGACUUAGUGUACUACUUGGACAUUGGCUAGAAUAGUAAACAACGGAGCUUCACUAUUC
rnacentral:lncRNA from 1 species